rnacentral:lncRNA from 1 species
UUUCAUACAGCUAGCGAUCCUUAGAGAUGAUGCAUGCCUCUAAACACUCCUUAGGCGCUGGAUGAUGCGAUGCACACUACAACAAUCAUCCUAUUUAAAAGUGCUCCACACUCGGAAGCUUUGUUUUUAAAUUCUACUUAAUCAUUGAUAAAAAUAUUCGAAAAUUCUUUUAAAACUGUUUCCCACUCGGAAACUCUAUUUUGAAAAUCGACUACUUCAAGGAGUAAAAAACCACAAAGUAUAAAUAAAUAAUUCCAAAACUGAAGAUCCAUAAACUCCAAUCGCAUGCAUAGUAGGAAAACCAACUCAAACCGUUCACAAACAUUCAAACAUCAAUAAUAAUCAUCUAACUGAACCAUUUAUUUAUUUAAAUUACUAGAAGCGAAAAUAAAAGUAACCCGGGUGACGGUCGCUACUGCAGACUAGCUAGAACAUUCUUCCGUCGCGCCACAUGCCAACUCCUUGCCCGAGCCACCUGGGGAAUGGGGUGUGAGAAACCACAAUUAAGGUUUCCCAGUAGGUACGACAGAGCCACGAAGGCAAGUCGUAAUUACUAGAAACCAAAGGAGGUAAAGUAAACAAAGUACAGAUGCUGUGAUACGAAAGAGCUACAGUAGCUAUAAAAGAUAUAAUAAGAAGCAAGUAAUAAAACGGCUACUAUAAGGAACACAAUGCUGAGCAUGCCUCAAGGUAAUCAACCCAAAACUGUACCCAAUCUGGUGCCUACUAUAUUGGUCCACAGAGCUCAACCGUUGCCUGUCACAAUGCUCCAACUACUCUCGAAAUAGUACAGGGUACAACUAAUGCAUAAAGGAGGUAAGCUAGCUAUAUACAUAUACCGCUAGAGUGCUACGCCCUUGCCACGAUACUCCCCGGGGGCGCUCGAACUCGGACCUGCAAUAUGGUGGAGUGAGAACUACGAAUAGUUCCCAGUGGGUUCGGCCGCCGACUCCGCCGAUCUCCCCACUAGGUCUAAGCAGGCACAGAUAGAUAUGCAGAUAGAUAGAUAUGUAAAACUGAAAGCAUUAACAGUAAUGAGCAACUAUGAACUAUGAUCUAUCGAUGCCUCAAUCCAGUAUGAUGCAUGCAUGGGACUCAUAGUGAGAAGGCUGGCUAUCAUACUACCAUGCUCAAUAAUGAAAUCAUUCAACCAAUUACCCAAUCUCUCGGCGAACGCAAGGUUCGCUCACAGUCUCACGUCUCUAAGUAAGUACACCUCCGGUCGAUGGCCAAACCGACCUAGUGUCAUGAAUACACCCAAGUGCUGUGACUAAGUCAUGCUGAUAUGCUCAAUGCGAAAGCCGGCUGAAGCCGGUGCCUUGGUUGAAGCCAGAUACAAGGGCGUACAAUGCCGACCCAUGAUCAACCAGAUCGAAACACACGACAAAAGAGUCAAUGUGUUGCCGGACCCAAAGUCCAUGGAGAUACAAUAUAUAUGCAAGCCUGCUCUACAUGUCUAUCAACUAUAAUCCUUAUGCAAUCAAUAAGGUAUAGAUAAACGAACGAUAACAAAGCAACCGACAUAUAGAGAGUACAAUACUGAAGUAGAAGAACAGAGGAAGGUGAAACGAUCUCACCGACUACCAGCUCGAAGCACCCACCUGUCACUAUCGCGUCAGAAACUAGGUGCACACAAAUCAACCGGACCUACGAAGAUCCACCGGGUCAGUAUCCAACCCACAAACCCAAAGCACACGAGUCACGAACCCCUACACAAGUCCCCAAAAUCGGUUUCCCAAAACCGAUCACCGUAACUCGCCGAAAGUUCCGAAAAUCACAUCGGGACGCCGUCGGGACCCACUAAGUGUCCCGAAACUCACCAACUCGUGCCACGAGUCACCCGCUGCCACAAAACACACCGAUUUGGACGUCUUGGCAACAAACACAAGAUUACACAACUAAACAAUUAUCGUCGGAUAAUUGUUUGGAUCCGGAUUCUCCGAAGUGUCAAUUUCGACAUCGGAACCCACCGUCGCUCACCCGUCAUCUCCGAACUCACGAUAUGACGAUGGUGACUAGCCGACAAGGCUCAGCGAUAACUCUCGGGGCAAACAAACACCAUCGGAUGAAAUCCGAACCGAAACUGCGUUCCGCCGGCGAAUUUCGCCGAAAAACGCACCGAAAUCGACGAUCGAUUUUCGCGAAGGCUAUCAGACCUUGGACAAUCAGUCCAGAGGUCACCACAUACACAUACAUACUAUCCACAGUAGCCACAAGAUGCACAAUUGCAUAAAAGUCCCUAUAUUUACAUAAAAUCUAUUAUUUUAUGUAAAUAAAGCGAUUUUGUGUCUCGUUAACACAAACCGAGGACUUCCGAGGUUCGCCGAGACACGUACUGACAGGUCUCGACAUGCCGGAGGCCGUGCUCAUGGUCCAGAGCACAACGGCUCACUGUGGAAGGCGCGGGAGCGACCCGAAUAUUCAACGAACAGCGUACACUCGGGGAAAAACUAUGCCGAAAGGCCGAACCGGAAUCUAUUGAUCCAAAGUGAGGUGGGCAUCAUGAUCAGCACUAAUCAGCGAUCACCGUGCUCACCUCCGGAGGCAUCGGGACAGCCUCGGAUCGCCGAAAAAGCAUGCUGAAACCAGAACUAUGCACAAACAGCAAUAAGUUAGGCUCACCGGGCAGAGGGGGCUAGGGCACAGCCGACGGCGGCUCUGCGGCGGGCGCGCCGGUGGCCGACAGGUGCGAUCGACGUGGGGAGGCUGGGGCUCGCACCGGCCGGCGGCUAGAGGCGGCGGCGAUGGCGGUGGAGCAAGCCUAGCCCGCACAGGCCGAGCUCGGGUCAAGGUGCCACACCGGCCUCGGUAGCGGUCGGGGCGCCUCGAGGUUGCGACGAGGGUCAUCGGGGCUCCGGGGGAGACGGUAGGAAAGGCCACAGGCGGCGGCGGCGCGCGGGCUAGCUGUUGAGACUCAGCUCGGCCCGAUCCCGCCUAGGCAACCCGCAGGGCUAAAGCAGCGUGGUGGCGGCGCUCGGGGCGGCUCGGGGCGGUGGCGGCGGACCACCUGAGGUCGAAGGGUUGCCGUGGGGGUGGCCCUAGGCGGCGGCGAUGCGGGGGAGAAGCUGCAAGUAGGCCUGGGCCCCAGUUUGCCCUAGCUGGCAGCAGGGUGGUUGCAGCGCGGCGGCCGCACUCGGCGACGGUGGCAGGCGGCAGGGGAAGCUUUGACAGGGUCAGGACGACGCCGACGAAGAGCAGGGAGGCAAAGCCGCCUCGGACUUCCUCUCUAACUCGAGAGAAAGAGAGAGAUAGAGGUGGAGAGGGAGGAGAGGAAAGAGACGGUGAUGAUGGUCGCGGCUGGCCAGCCGGGGCUGGGUCGGCGGCGGCCGGGCCGCACGACGCACGAGGUGAGGGGAAGGUAGGACGACUAGGUUAGUUGGGGGCUAGGGUUAGGGUUAGUAUGGUGCAAAAACCCUAGGUGACUAUAUAUAUAAGGACUCAUUUUGCCCAAAUGUCCCCCCAAUCUCGGAUAUUUUAAACCGAGCCCCUCACCACGCGAGUAAAACACGCAAAUACACCUCCACAUUCAAAUUCACGCAAAACGGUACAUAAAAUGUUGCGCUUUUCGCAAAAUUACUGUUUUGCAAAUUAAAACCCCUCCUUGAUCAACACGCGAUAUCAACAGAUUCGUUCGUCAGAUUGGCAAACAGAUUGCACCAGUGCGAUCAGCACGACAGAGACAUCAAACCUAUGAUUUCGUUUCGCCUCGUUUGGCCACAGAUUUGCGACAAAACCUAUCCUCUCUCCAAAUGGCGAAACUACUCACAAAUACAUAAAAUACAUGUAUUUCCAGUUUCUCAAAAUUCGUGCGUCAAACCUAAAAUCUGUUAGCGCCAAUGGUUCCAGAAUAGCAGAACCAUUAAAAACGAGCUAUUGGAUUGCUAUGAACAAAGCCCGAUACGCGCCGGAAGCCAACUCUACACCGUGCCCUCUUCGAAAAAGCGGGUUACUAUUCACUUUAAGUGAAAAGGAAAAGUCGCGUAAGAUAUAGAUCGAGAUGGUUCCAACUAAUUCGGUUAAGAUAUGGAUCGAGAUGGUUCCAACUAAUUCGGUUAAGAUAUGAAUCGAGGUGGUUCCAACUAAUUCGGUUAAGGUAUGAAUCGAAAUGGUUCCAACUAAUUCGGUUAGGAUAAGAUCGAGGUGGUUUCAACUACUUCGGUUAGAAUAAGAAUAAAGUUGUUAUUUUCAAAAUAUUUUGUUCUUAUCUUCUUGUAAGCUGGAAGGCUAUAAAUAGGGGGCCCUACUGGCUCUUGUAAAUCAUUCCAGUUUUAGAAAGAAUUAAUAUACAGACUCUUCCACAUACAAAUAUUGUGUUCUUUUCGUUUCUUUCUCUUUAAUCUGGUCUCAGAUAUCCAUCGGGGAGGCGUUGCGACAUUGUUUCCUCCACCGACGGAUCAAGUGGUAUCAGAUCAUCUGACCCUGGUGCAUUGUUUCCUCCACCGACGAAUCAAGUGGUAUCAGAGCAUCUGACCCUGGUGCAUGGUGUGAACCAGAAGCGUCUACAAAGCUACCGGCGAACAACUUUUCAUCCUCGACAUCUCCCGCAAGCCACCAACGAGGAAAAUGAAGAGCACAUCUACCAUGUCUGCAGACGAGCAGAUAGCGACGCCAUCCGACGUUGCCGCCAAGGUCGCCGCGCUGUCCGUCAACAUGAAGACCGUUUUAGAUUGGAUUAAGACCUAAUCUGCAGCACCAUCGGCAAUGCCGGUGGAGAAGAGUGGUCGGCUCGCAGGAACUCCUCCUCCAAAGGCGCAUGUGACGCCGAUGAAGAGCACUGCCGAGGAUACCUCGGGUGUGCGAGACGACGACGACUCCGACGAUGACGGAAGUAUUGCUCCGUCGAUUGCAGAAGGAAGGUCGAAACUAUUUAAGGUUGAGGCCAAGAUCGAGAUCCCCAACUAUGACGGUAUUGUCGACGCUGAAAAGCUGGAUGCCUGGUUUGACCAACUGGAGACGUACUUCGACCUCUACAACUAUAGCACCGCGGAAAAGGUAACUUUCGCAAAAUUAAAACUUGUAGGUCGUGCUUUGACUUGGUGGAAGGCCACUCUCCAAACUACCACCAAUGAGGAGUUCACCUGGAGUCAGUUUAAACGACUGAUUUGCCGGGAGUUCUACCCUAUGGGAUAUGAAGAAGAGCGAUGGAAGCGCUAGCAUGUCCUGCGCCAAAGACGUGAUUAGACAGUGCAGGACUACACCACCGACUUCCGGCGCCAAGCUUUGGCGCUUGGCAUCUCCCUCGAUGAUCCACAGGUUUUUCGUAAAUACACCGCGGGCCUACAGGAGCGCAUCAAUGAUGAGCUUCGUCUCUUCGGUGUUCGUGAUAUCACCUCGGCGAGCCAAACAACCAUGGCGAUUGAACAAAAGAACAAACUAUCUCGCGGGGAGAAGCCAUCUAGAGAGACUGCUGAGGGCUCGAAAAAGUUCAAAAAGAAUGGCUCUAAAAAGAAGGGCUCCUCUGAUCUUGAUUUGUACUGUGAUCAUUAUAAAGUCACAGAACAUAUCAAGGAUCGAUGCUGGAAGCUCCAUCCAGAGAUGAGACCAAGGAAAAAGGACGAUCGUGGUAAACGCACAAUGACAACAGCAACAACAUCGGCAGUAUUGACAAGUGAUGCUCCUACCUUAAUCGGACGGAUUAAUCAAGCAGACACUAGCUUGUCUCUGAUGGCUAUGCCGAAGGAGACAAGCCUGUGCCGGUCAAAUCCGACUGAUAAGAGAGAAGAGUUGUUCACUUUUCGAGUUCAAGUCAAAAAUGAGGUGAUCGGUGCCAUCAUCGAUCCUGGCAGCCAAAAGAACUUGAUCUCGGAGAACCUAGUUCAAAGACUGGGUUUGUCGACUACACCACAUCCACACCUAUAUCCAUUAGGGUGGAUUAACAGCAACAUCGAGAUGAAGAUCGAUCGCCAGUGCAAUGUGAAGUUUGCGGUGACCGGCGUCUACAUCGACGAAAUGCUGUGCGAGGUUGUGCCGCUGAAUAUUUGCAACCUCAUUUUCGACAGUCCCUACCUAUAGGACUGUGACGCUACUUUCUUCCGUCGUCCUCAACAAUACCAAUUUAUUAAGGAUGGACAAAAAUUUUGUUCACCACAGAGCCAUUGUUAACAACUGUAGACUUCGUGACUCCUUGUCAGGCCAAGAGGAUAAUCAACGCUUGUCAAAAGUUUGCCUUACUGGUUAUUCGACCAGUUAUAUCCGAGGAGGCAAACAGCAAGGUAUUGAGCCUAGCAUGUAAGGAAAGAACUGAUGAUAUAGCUAAAUUGAUUGGCGAGCAUCAGGAUCUGCUUCAAGAAGUCCAAGGACUGCCACCAAAGCGAGCCGUGGAACAUGAGAUCCAAUUGAUCAGCGAUGCUCCAUUAUCGAAUCUCCGCAUGUACCGAAACUCGGUGGUGAAGAAUGAGGAGAUAAAGUGACCGGUGACUGAGUUACUCGAGAGUGGUGCUAUCAAACCGAGUAGCUCCCCCUGUGGCUCCCCGAUCGUGUUGGUGCCAAAGAAAGACGGUGGGUGGCGAAUGUGUAUCGACUAUCGCGCGCUUAACAAAAUCACCAUCAAGAAGCAAUACCCCUUACCGCAGAUCAAUGAUCUCUUGGACCAACUGAAGCACGCUUGCUACUUCACCAAACUGGAUCUGAAGUCCGACUAUCAUCAGGUUCGGAUCCGAGAGGAUGACACCUGGAAGACCACGUUCAAGACUUGACAAGGCUUGUUUGAAUGGCUCGUCAUGCUAUUCGGUCUUUGCAAUGCAACAGCUACUUUNAUCCGAGAGGAUGACACCUGGAAGGCUGCGUUCAAGACUCGACAAAGCUUGUUUGAAUGGCUCGUCAUGCCAUUCGGCCUUUGCAAUGCACCAGCUACUUUUAUGCGACUGAUGAACGAUGUUUAUGCCCCUUUCUCGAUGACUUCGUGAUCGUUUAUCUCGACGACAUCCUCAUCUACAGUCGAUCGUGGGAGGAGCAUCUAGUGCAUGUCAAGAAGGUCUUCAUGCUACUCGAGGAACACCAACUCCGCUUAAACCUUAAAAAGUAUGAGUACGGCAAGCAAAGCCUGGUGUAUCUCGGGUUCGUGGUAGGCAGCGACGAGCUUCAGAUCGACCCCAACAAAGUCAAGGCUAUCAAGGAGUGGCCUAGGCCCAAAAAUGUGACGGAGGUGCGGAGCUUCAUAGGUGCUUGCUAAUAUGUCCGGAAGUUUAUUCGACACUUUUCUGUCCUUGCUGCCCUCACAUGCACUAACGAAGGCCAACCAAAAGUUUGAAUGGAGUUCGAAACAUGAGGAUACGUUUCGACUUUUGCAACGAAAGAUAUGCGUGGCACCUGUUCUUGCGCUACCAAAUCUGCAACGACCUUUUGAGUUGGAGGCGGAUGCAUCGGGAUACGCCAUUGGGGCUGUCUUGAUGCAAGAUGGUCGACCUAUUGCAUAUUACUCUGAGAUGUUCCAGGGAGCUCAAAAGAACUACCCGACCUAUGACAAGGAACUCUUGGCACUACACAAGGUGGUCAAGCAUUGGCGGGUCUAUCUCCUAGGAAAAGAGACAGUGGUGCAUAUAGACCACCGCCCGCUUUAGUACCUCCAAACGCAAUCAAAAUUACAACAGGCGCUUCACAUGAACUGGAUGACGUACUUGUAGCAGAUCAAGUACAAGAAAGGCGCUCACAACAAACUGGCUGAUACGCUAUCACGACUACCAGUGACAGUACUUUGCUUGUCGAUAUUUAUGCAAGUUCAGCCGAAUUUCAAGAGUAUGCAAGCUUAUAUGCAGAAAACUCAGAUUUUCAAGGAGCACUGGCUGACAUCGAGGCAAGACGAUUGUAACACACUGAACUUUGGCAAAUUGUAAGGUUCGAAUGUUUGAUCAGUGUUCCGAGCUUUUUCAGGUUUUCUAGAGGGUCGUCGACGAUGUUCCGACCUAUGACUCGCAUCCCGAGGAGCGAGAGUGAAAACUUAGCACCAAAAUCUCUAAAAUGAAGAAUUUGGGCUGCUCUCUGGUUGAGCUCUGCAGAGCAGAGUACCGGUACUGGAGCUGGUACCGGUACGACAUUGCGAGAGUAUCGGUACACAGUGUGUUUUCUCGCUUACCCGAGGCUCGGGUUUGCGCGCGCUGCUGCCUGGUACUGGUACUGGUACUCCAGCCCGUGUCACCGGUACGCAGUGCAGUGCAGACUGUGUAUUGUUGAGGGGUGUUUUUUGAGAUUGUUACAACUCUAUAUAACACCCCCAGAGCCAUUGGAGAGCUCUUUUGAGCCCUAAUUCGUGGAGAACUCAGGUGAGGGCCUUCUUCCUUGGUUUUUCUCCUAUUUCUCAUGGUUUUAACUUGUUUUGAUCUCUCUAUUCCUCUCAUCUUUGCUUCAUGUUGGGUUUCUACCAUUGGAGAAGCUUUGGAGCUUUGUUUGAAGCUUGUUGGAGGAGAGAUCUUCAACCCUAGCUCAUUUCAAGCUUGAUUUGGAGCUUCAAGAGAGGUUAGUAGUCUUGAUCUCUUUAUUAGAUCAAGUUUUAUGAAAUUUUUGAGAUGAAAACCUAGUUUUGUAGAAACUAGGGUUUUGUUUGGGGCUUUUCUUUUGGAAGCUUUUGGGUUAGAAUUGAUGGGUGUAGAAUACUCUUGUAGGUUGGAUUUGAAACUUUCUAGCUUCGAUUUGGGCUAUGAUCAAGUUCUACUUGACCUAAGAUAUUUUAUACUCUUUGUUUGUGUAAUUUUUGAAGAUUUCCGAAGUAGUCGUUUUGUAACUUUUAACCCUUUAGAAUUUCUCUUAGGGUGCUAGGAGCUUGGGGAACAACUUCGUCCGAAGGAACAAAAGGGUUCGAAGUGCUUCCGGUGGGUUUGACCUCACCGAAAUGGGUGAACUCCCCCUAUGUCUUCCUUAUGGUUUUGAGACAUGUUUAGAUGCUUAUUCAUGCUUAAUAUGACAUGCUAUAAUUUAUGAAAACAUAAUAUGUACAUGUUAUGUAUAGUGAAAAUUUAUGCUCUAUGUAGUAGAGGCAUACAUGUGGUUUUGGGCACUAAAUGACACUACUUGAUGUUUCUCUCUUAUGAAACCAUAGAAAGCAUGCUAGAGUAUGAAUAAUGUUAUAACUCGUUGGGGGGUUCCUAGUGAAUGGGUUGAGUAAGCAGUUAACUUACAUGAUGACAAUAGUACAUUUGUUAUAGACAAGGUGAUUGGAACUUAGCAUUACUUACAUGAUGACAUUAUACUUGUUGUAGGCAAGGUAAUUGUGACAUUGAGAUAUAGCGCAUGAUAAGGUCAUCUUGAAGCUAAGCUUGGUGUAUUUAACUUAGUUGAACAAUUAGAACUGGACAUGUGACAUCAUGACUUGGUGCACUUAACCUAGUUAAUUCACUAGUAUUGGCCAUUGUGACAUUAUAUUCGAUCUAGGGAUCGAUAGUUAUGUUCCAUGUUUUAGACAUGAGGAAAGGUGGAUUUAAAGCUUUUGGGGCGAACCCUAAUAGAGAUGAUUGCAUGCAAUACUAGUGGAAUUAAUUAUGUGCAUUAUAAUACUUUUGCUCUAUAUAGUGGGGAUGUUAGCGGAAUGACAUAUGCAUGACAUGCGUUGUGGUACUUAUAGUCAUAUUGUAAUUUAUUUGCAUAUGGUAUUAGUAAAUGUUUCUCUUGACAAUUGUUGUAUUUGCAUGUUAAGAACCUAGUUGGAGACUUGAUUGAAAUAGUGAACUAUCUUGAAUAGGAUAAUGACAAGUGCUAUGUACUUAUGAAUAGUGACUUAUACUUGACAUAGUAACAUGAACGUCAUGUAGUGACAUUUAGACUAGUAAAUGACUAAACCUUCACAAUGGGAUACUUUAUUCGACCUUUGGGUCGUUGGUACUUAUUCCAUGCUUUAGACAUGAUGACCGAGAGUUGGAUACUAUUGAUCAUGCUUGCUUGCCAUUGUGCUCAUUCGCACAUGCUUGUGAGGGUCGCUCUCCACAAGCCGGCACUCCGGAGAUAGCCUACGCGACACAAGCUUGCCCGUGCGGGAUUAGGCGCCGAAAUGGGAUGCCGUUGGGGAGGCUCAUUCCUAGAGUGGGAAUGUUGACUACUACGGGGCCAUUUUUGACACGGCGCAAGCCGGACUACACAUGUGUAGAUCCAUGACGAGAAUUGAACUAUGAUACUUAAAGUAUAAUGUGAAAACUACUACUAGAGAGUACAUCCUAGUUGGAUUAGUAGACCUGCAUGAUAGUACAUAUUGUGGACUUUAUGUUAGUCAUUCUUAGCAUUGACACUCUAGUGGUAGUAUAUCAUACCUAUAAUAUUGGCAUAUUGCAUAGUUAGAAUAGUAAAGGAAAGCAUAAUUACUCAUUGUAGCAUUAUAGACAUCAUGAACAUGCAUGUAAACUAAUAUUGGCAUAUAGUUGGUUGUACAUGUAAACGGACAUUGGCAUAUAAUGGGAUAAAUGAAAUUAGAACAUUAUAUACACUAGUGUAGGAACCUGCGCGAUGCGGCGAAUAGAUAUUAUUGAAGCAAAAUGUGAAUAAAAAUAAUUAUUGCACUUUUGAUCAAGAAAGAAAAUGACUUACAAAUAAAAAAAAUUAAAUUUAAAAAUAUAUGAGUCAUAAUAUACAUGACAUAGAAUAAAAAAAAUGCCAUAAGAUAUAUUCUAUCACCUAUAUGCACAAAAUAAAAUCUAUAGUAAUAAUUGUAUACUAUAAAAGACAAUCAACUAACUAAUAAAUAUGCCAAAAAAAUAAUAAAAGAGAAGCUAAAAUUCAAUCAUUUCAGAAUCAGAUAUAUAUAAUUUUAAAACCCUAUAUUAUGUAAAAGCAUCUAGGAAGGUAGAAUACUUUUUUCAAUUUUCUAUUAUCAAAGUAAAAAUAUUAAAGCCUAAAUUAGCAGAGUAGGAAAAGUACAUUAAGAUAAUCAAAUAUACACAGGUAGAAGGAAAAAAAGAAGGUUAAACAAAAUACAACAGUAUGAAUAUGUUAAACUUAAAUUGGCUAUAGGUAUUUUAAGACAAAAGUUGCUUCAAAAAGAAUCCAAAACUAAAGUCCAAAUCUUAAAGAGGAACAAAACGUAAAGUGUGUAUAUAUAUAUAUAUAUAUAUAUAUAUAUAUAUAUAUAUAUGGAGUCCGACUAUUGUACUUGUAAAAGCACCAAGCACUUGUACUUGCAAAUUUUUUACCGCUAGAUUUAUCAUUUUGAUCAUUUUCACUCGUUAGAUUAUACUAUUCAACCAAGCGGUCCCACAUCAUCCUAACCGCACAUUCCUUAAUCCAAUGGCCAAAAAUCUAUAAACACGUGCGGAUAUUUGACGCAUCCAAUCUUUAACACGUGCGGAUUUGUACUAAACUUCUCUACUAUUAUGUUGCAUCUUUUAUAUAUAUAUAUACUGAAACUAUGUAGAAAGAAGAGAUAUUAAAGAUCAGAGAUAAUAAUACAACAAUCACAAAACGAUAUAAUUCACGCCAGAGAAUUUCGCCAAUCAAGAAUGUUCAGCAUUUUGCGUUGCACCUACCAAUUAACAAAUGAGAAUACAAUUAUGCAUCAAAUACACAACCCUUUCCUUUAGCCAAUCCACCUCUCUCAAGAACUAUAUCGUCUCUAACAAAGCAUUUGAUUUAGAGACAAAUUAGAGCGUGAUUUAAUUUAUUACCUAAACUAUGUAGACUUCACUCCAACUGCAUUUUUUGUAGUUAUCUAAACUUUAAAAAUUAUGAUUUUAAUACCUAGCAUUCUAUUAUAUUAAAUUAUACGCUGCUUCUCUAGCAAAAUUUAAACAGUAUCUUUAACUUUUUUUGACAGGAUAUUUUGUAACCUAACAUAAUAUUCUAUUACUUGACGAAGUGUUUUAUAACUUUUUUAAUAGAAACCAUCAAGUUUUAGAACUUUGAUGCAAACUUCGAAUAUAAAGAGUAAUCUAAAGAUAAGCACUAUGAUUGAAAUAUCUAAAGUCCGUGUAUUUACUUAAAAAUAAGUUGUAGCUCAACUGAAGUCUGUACAUUUUUUACUACCGUUUGAUUUUCUGGUUUAUUCCUGUAUACCAUGACAAUCAAGAAGUAAGUCAAUUUUGCAUUUGAUUUUAAAUUUAACAAUCACCACGCUCACUUUCUUCAUCCCUGAAGCUUUUGGUUGAGAAGGUUUCGUUGAAUUAGGAAUAUUUGAUUUCAUUUUGAUGAACGAUCUCUGUGUUUGAUUUACAUGCUGGUUGUUUUAAUUUGUACACGAAGAAUUUUUCAAGAUCUAUGAAACAAAGAUGGCUCGCGUAAAAUUCCUUAUGCCAUACAAAGUAGAUUAUAACAUAGGCAAAUUGUAUUGUUUCAUUCAAUUGGAUUUAGUGCCACAUCACAUCAUCACAGGGCAAAAGUUGUAUGACCUUUGGAUGCACACUGAGGUUUUAUCUGCUUAUAUUGAAUGUGAUUAUUAACCUCCAGAAAUAGAUUGCAUAAUUGAUAUUAACAAUUGAAAUAAUUAUAGUGACUAAAAAAUAACUGUAAUAAAUUGAAGGACAAUUCCAAGAGUUUUGUCAGAGCAUAAGAAACUUAAAAUCAUUACCUCACAAUCUAUCUCAAUACCAAAUCUCGAGAAUAUGCUAUCAACCAGAGGCUCGACGAAUGCCUCUUCCAGAUUCUUUCUAUCUUCUCUGACUCCAUUGCUUUCGUCUCCGGUGGAAGGAGCAUGACUCGAAUCCACAUGUCGUAUAACAUGGACAGAUACCAGCGCUCGCGGCAUUGACGUCAACAGAUUCUUCCUCAGCAAUCUUCAUCAGAUUGUUGGUGUCAGGAUCGGAAUCUUUCACGACAUUCUUGCUCUAGGGUUUCCGUUCUUGGCUGCUACUACUCCCUUAUUAUGAUUCUUCCUAUAUUCUUGAUACUAAUACACCCUAAAACCCCUGAUAAAAGUAAAAAAAAAAAAGGUGAAAAAAUUGAGAAAAAUAUCGAAUAAAUCACCAAAUUGCGUGAAUCAUAUCUUCUUGCGACCCGCGGCUAAAGAUCGAUGCGACUCUUGGUCUUAUCCAUCUAGAUUGAAUCGAAAGUCACAUGAUCUCAUAGAUUAAUCAAAACGUUUGCGAGAAGAGCCGAAAAGAGCAUUUGAAUUGAUAUAUAGCUAGGUAUAGAUAAUUGAAAUCAGAUCAAAUUAAACCAAAAUCAACACCAAAUCUAAUAGCAUACCUAAUGUACGAAUCAAAAAUAUCCAAUUCAUGUUGCUGUGAACAAAAAUUUUCAGAACCAAAAAAAUCUUGGCGGCGUCCUUGUGAUGGCGGCUGAGGAGGACCGUUGCCGUCGGCGGAGAUGAUGGUGAGGCCCUGGAGCUUGCGGAUCUCGUCAAGAUCGAGGACCUCCUCGGUGGCGAGCUUGUCGAGGCCCUCGAUGACGGGUUCCUUCGCCUGCGGCAGGAGGUUGGGGGGGGGGGGAGGCCUUGGUCGACGAACUCCCGGCGCUUCUGGGCGAUGACGCGGUCGAUGUCGGCGAAGAGGUCAUCGGGGUCGAAGGAGGAGGAGGAGGGGGGAGAGGGAGGGGGGUCGUUUUGGAGGGCGAGGGCGGAGAGGAUGAGGGGCUUGUCGCGCCUGAGCUGGGCGUCCUCGCGGCGGCGGGCGCGCUCGACGUGGCGCUCGAGCUGCUGGAAGCGGCAGAGGCCGUGGGAGGAGUCCUUGGGGGCCUCCGGAGGGUCGUCGUUGGCGUGCGGUAUGUGUUGGUGGGGGAGAUGAGGAUGUGGUACAUUAGGUGUUGGUGGGGGAGAUGAGAGGGCGUGCGGUACGAAAGAAGAGAGGGAGAGAGAUGAGAGGACGUGCAAUAAAAAAAAAGAAGAGAGAGAAUGGACGGUUACUAUAAAAAAUAAAUAAAUAAAUAAAUAAUUUCAAAGUAAGGAGCUUAUGCCACAUCAGCUUUCUCUAUUGUGGAUUCAUAUAAGAGUAUAGAUGAUAGCUAAUUCUUUAGGAGAGGCAUGACUAUGAUAUGAACAUGUUUAAAUUACUUACUUUUCAUAUAUUGCUUAAUUAUACCCUUAUAGCAUGCCUCAGUUGACCAAAUGGUAUAUUUCGCCACUCUCGGUGGCUUACCCACUGGGAACUAUUGUUUAAUAGUUCUCACCCCCAUUUAUUGUUGUCUUUUUCAGAGCCUUCCGCGACAGGAGAGGUUAGGGAUUGUGGAAAGGGGUUAGCGACUAGUUAGAGCCUCUACGGAGAUACUAUAGUUGGACUCGAUGUCAUGUUUCCUUUUGUACCUAUGGAAAAGAUGUAUCAUGUAUUUGAUUUAAAGUUGUUGUUGGAUAUUUGGAUUUAGUCGUAUACAUUUGUAUAUUUUGUGAAUCUCUUUGUGAUAGAACAUUAGUGAUUUUAUAUUACUCGCUCUGAUAGCCUUAUUAGUACUUGAUCUUGUUUAUUCUUGUUAGUAGAUGCCUUGUGUGCAUUGUGGUUGUUUAGUGUACACGGCAAGUCUGUGCACGCGUCGGGCGACUUCCGCUCGGCCGGGGCGUGACAAUGACCUACUGAGUUUGUCUUGCAAGGCAGUCUACUGUACAAGGGUGCACUGCUAUGUGUACCAAAAGAUGGCAAUCGAGUAUAAUGGAUCAGAGAAGCCCAUACCUCGAAGGUGGCGGGUCACUUCGGGGUGAACAAAAUCUUGCAGAAUCUCCAGCGCUACGUCUAUUGGCCUCACAUGCAAAACGAUAUGGCCCGAUUUGUGAAGGGAUGUGUCCUGUGCUGUACAUCCAAACCCACAAAUCGAAAGGUAGGCCCCUAUACCCCUCUUCCGGUGUCGACUCGUCCUUGGGAAAGUAUCUCCAUGGACUUCUUAGGAGGCCUCCCGAGGUCCCGACGAGGACAUGACUACCUUUAUGUGGUGGUCGAUCGAUUCUCCAAGAUCAUAGUACUUGUGCCUUGCAAGAAGACAAUCACUAAUGAGGAAACUGAGCGGCUAUUCUUCCAACACGUUUGGACAUAUUUUGGACUCCCAACCUCGAUUGUGUCUGACUGUGACAGCCGUUUUCUAAGCAACUUUUGGCGGUCUUUGUGGUCCAUGAUGGAUACAAAGUUACAACGGAGCACGGCUUCCAUCCUCAAACCGAUGGUCAAACAGAAGUGGUCAAUCGGACAGUUGUACAUCUGCUGCGAGGAUAUAACGCUCGACAUUCCAAAACUUGGGACGAGAGCCUUCCAUACUUACAGUUCGUGUUCAAUCGAGCUAUAAUAAGACUCCUUUUGAGGUGUGCUUGGGUUAUUUACCACCAAACCUAUUUGAUUUUGCAUUCACGGUCGAACAAUCACGAACCACCAAGGAGGAAAAUGAAAUGGCAAAGGCACAACGUUUCUUGGAGAACAUUCAGAAAGUGCAUAGCGAGGUGGAGCGACAAUUACAAAAAUCUCAGCAGAAGUAUAAAGAACGACAUGAUCGGCAUCGAGUGAAAGACGACUUCCGAGAGGGUGAUCUCGUCUGGCUUCAUCUUAACAAGGAAUGCUUGAAAAGCGAGAGUAAGAACCUUAAACCCAUUCGUUAUGGUCCUUUCAAGAUCCUAAGCAGAAUUGGUGAGAAUGCUUAUCAAUUGGAGUUGCCGCAUACAUGAGGAUGUAUUCGGUCGUCAAUGUCGAAAACCUAAAGUCCUUCGAGCCAUCAAUGCUAAACGAUGAGCUCGGAGAAGUACUGCCAUCCGUGGAAGAUCUCGUGGUAGAACGUGAAGAGCGACUAACUGAAGAUACUAUCCUAGAAUGCAAGGUCACGACGACACGCAAAGAUAAACGUGAAUCCUUUUGAAUUGGACAAAAAGGUCAAAAGCCAAGUGUCGCUGAGUGGUUCACAAGGGAAACUGAAAAAACUCAGUUUCCUCACUUAUAGUUCUAGAUCCAGCAGGUGCUGGUUCCUCUCAAAAUUGGGGAGCCAUGAUCCAGGACGAUCAAACCAUCCGGAUAAGUCUCAAUCGUUGCAGAUAAGGCGGAGGCUGUUCCAACUAAUUCGGUUAAGAUAUGGAUCGAGAUGGUUCCAACUAAUUCGAUUAAAAUAUGAAUCGAGGUGGUUCCAACUAAUUCGGUUUGGAUAAGAUCAAGGUGGUUUCAGCUACUUUGGUUAGAAUAAGAAUAAAGUUGUUAUUUUCAAAAUAGCUUAUUCUUAUCUUCUUAUAAGCCGGAAGGCUAUAAAUAAGGGGCCCUACUGGCUUUUGUAAAUUAUUCUAGUUUUAGAGAGAAUUAAUAUGCAGACUCUUCCACAUACAAAUAUUGUGUUCUUUUCUUUUCUUUCUCUUUAAUCUGGUUUCAGAUAUCCAUCGGGGAGGCGCUGUGACAUUGUUUCCUCCAUCGACGAAUCAACAUAAAUGGAGGCCGCCUGUAUCAGGUCAUCACCGACAAUCGGUAGUUGGUCAAAAAUGUGCUGUAAUCUCUGUUCCCAUCUUUCAUUGUGGGCAGCAUGAAAGAUUGCCCAAUCCUCAUCUAGCCGCCCAUGAGAAGUAACACGACAAAUGGUCUCCAUGUUAAUGGGUAUAUGCUGAAAAAAAUCAAACUUUCGUAGGACUUGAUUCGGUACAUGCAUCUCAACAAUAUAAAAGGAAAUCAGCAUCGUCCUCGACCGCCAGACCUCACUGCCCUGUACACAAAAUAUCGGUAGCGCGGCUAUAAUAGUAUCUAUGUACAACCUCCAUAUAAUUUGUGAAUAAGCUAAUAGUCAGUUCAAUGCAUUAAUACGUUUGUAUAAUAUUGAAAAAGAUUGUUGCAUUAAUACGUACUUGGGACUCUCUGUGCUGAUCUAACUCAUCUCGAUAAAACUCAAUAUCUGUGGUUCUAACAUUAGCUCCAAAUCAUAACACGCCAGCGUUCGCCCGUCUAAAGUUUGAAAAGUAUACGUAUUAGUUGCAAAUAUAUAUAGAAAUACAAUAUGUAUCAAAUUUAUAUGUCAUACCGGCAAUCCAAAGGGCAAUCUGCUAUAUCGGUAAUAGCUUCAACGCCUGUAGGUCGCCCGAUAUGAAUAUGGUCCCACGCUCAAAUCUAUAAGUAAAUUAUAAUAAAUUAAACAAAAAAAAUUAAACAGGAUAAGUUUUAUAUAACAAAUAUAAUAUUACUUAUUAUACCUAUAAUAAUGUCGCGAAACAACAACAUUCGACAUUUCCUUUUAAUGAAGCCGCUCCCAACGUCCAAUAAAGAUAUGCCAAAGCUGCUGCACCCCAUGCUAACCAGCCACACUCAUCAAAAUCUUCCAAAAGUGGCAGCCACUUCAGGUGAACUCUAUAUCCGGUGGGGUUCGAAAGCAGGCUACACCCAAUCUGAUAUACCAUGUAGGCGCGUGCUGUGGCUGCAACUAAUCCAGCAGGAGCAUUCAAAUGUAUACGGUGGAAGUGCUGGUAUAAUCAACCUAGUCUAAUCUGACCGGCUCUGAUCUCAUCCGGCACAGUUCCUAAAAGCGCCUAACAAAUAUCCUCCCAUAGGUACACUACAGUCCCAGUCACAAGCUCUCCAUCCACACGAAGAUCGACAAUAACCGCUAUAUCCUGAAAUGUAAUCGUCAUCUCACCGUGGAGGAAGUGAAAAGCCUGUGUUUCUUGUAUCCGUCCCUCGACCAUGGCUUCGAAUAAAACCUAAUCCAGCUGCACGCUCCUAAGUUGUGAAAUAUAGUAGAAUCCAGCCUGUCGUAGAACACUACAACAAAACUAUGUUUUAGCGACGAUUAUUUUUUAAAUUAGCGGCAAUUACAAUUGCCGCUAAAAUAUUUUGUGGCAAUUUUAACAAUUGCCGCUAUUGGCAGCGUCGCUAAAAGUUUUAGCGGCAUUUAUUCCGGCGGUUGGUAAAAAUCCAAAUAAAUACCGCUAAAUAUUAUACAAUAACGACUAUUAUAAAUGCCGCUAAAUAGUAUGCAAUAACAACUAUUAUAAAUGCCGCUAAAUAAUAUACAAUAACAACUAUUAUAAAUGCCGCUACAAUUAAUUAUAAUUGCCGCAAAAAAUAUACUAAAUGAUUGAUUAAUAAAGCUUAUAGCAGCAAUUAAAUUAAUAUUAAAAUACUUGAUUAACAACUAAAUACUACAAUGAAUUGAAAUAUUAAAAAAUAUUAGUAGCCAAAAAGCAUUAAUAAUUUGUAUAACAAAUAGUCUCAACUCUCAAAUUACAAUCUCAGAAUUCAAAUUAAAUUUCAAACAUAAGUUCCGACAACAAAGUACUUGUUUGAUUUUAGCUCAACAAUAACAAAUUCUAAAUGAUACUAAAUACCUAAAAAUCUUAAAUUCCAAGUCCUUAAGCCCCAUUGUGCCACUUCAGAAAUCCACUCAAGUCGAUGAUAUGGCCUGAAAGAACCUGCUUGAAAAAUAACAUGUAUAAUUAAUAGUAAAAAUAAGCAAUUAGUAAUAAAAUAAACAUGGAUUACAAAGAUAAUGAUUUAUAAAGUUGAACAAUAAAUGAUAAAAUUAAAGCACGAAUUUAAUCAAAGCACCAAAAGUUUGCAAUAGUAUACAUUAUCAAGCAACAGUCAAAUCACCCUCUUUGAUGACAUUAUAAUACCUCAACCUAAAAUUUAAUCCAGUUAUUAGCUAUGAAAUAUUCAACUGGUCAAUAAACAACUAAAAAAUAAUCUAGAUGUCUUAUUAAUUGAAGGAUAAAGGAUAUUGACAAUAUUUGAAUUAUCAAAAUCGAAACUGAAUGAAAAUUUUAUGCCCAAUUUACAAUUUAGUUCCUAUUAAUUCCAGCAAAUCAGCUCAAAUUUAGAAUUUCUGUAGAUCAAACGAAUCCCAUAGUAGCAAAAAGAAUUUCAUAACGAAUUCAGUAACACUUAAAUCAUCUGAAACGGAGUCAAAACGAGAAAGUUACUCGAUUUACAAAUCAGUCUCUGGACUAAUUUUCUAAAAUUAUAGAUUGGUCCUAAGAUUAAAUUCGCUGGUCCAAACAAGUGCACUUUGAUGACCAUCCAAGAGUUUUUCUAUGAACUAACCCUAUUUGUGCUGGAAUGUAGUAACUAUACUAUUAUAGCACUACAAACAAAUAAAUCAGAAAGGGAUCUGACGAUUAUUCACAUGGAGGAGGCCAUUUUAGGGUAUGGGGUAUAGGACACCCAAAGCAACUAAUAUUGCUACUUCCUUAAGAGGUACCAUUAUUAUACUAUUAUAGUAGGGCAAACUAAUAUAUUGGAAAAGGAUCUGAUAAUUAAUCCACUUCUCCACAAAUUAAGCUAACGGGAUUUUGUCAGAAUACUAAGAGAAGUUUUGGAUCGCAGCUUCCGCUUGCGAGUUCAUGGAGGUGUUAAUGAUAGCAAAACUGGAUAUGAAAGAAGAAAGGUAAAGUUUAGCUUCUAAUUAACCUGCAGAAACCAAAGAGUAUUCUGAGAAAGAGAGAUAGAAGAUGAUCAGAAAGUUCUAAACUCAACCACACAACUUCUAAAUAUGAACUACCAAGCCUUUUGGGAAUGUAUCAGAAAGUUUGGGGAGUUUUAAUGAUAUACUUGCAUUGCAAUUUCUAAUAGAAGAUGAUCAAUAUUAGUAUGCAUCUGUAUAUAAAUAUAACCACUUAAUCUCAAAGAUAGGAAUUAAUAUUGACAAUGGCAUAGAAGUGUAUUUGGGACAUUAUUACAACAGAUCUAAGUGUUAAGCAAAUUAAAGGACUAAGAUAGCAAAUAUGUGUAUGUAAGAAAUAAGCAAACUGGUUCAAGAUGUGUUUAAGGAGCAAAUAACAGAACAUGGAACACUUACAAAUGUGUAAUUUUGCUUCAUUAUUACACUAGAACACAAGCCAUAGCUAGUAAAAAAUGACCAAUAUGAGAAAUGAAAAAUAGAAGUUCUAGUUAAUGUAAGAUAUAUCGAACUGUCAAAUAUAUAAGGUAUAGUACAAAAGCAAGAAAAGGAAAGGGAUUGGAUUUGAUGCAGUGGAAAACAAACUUAAUUAGCACAGAUAUACAAGGAUAGAAAUUAACAACAGGGUUACAAGGAAAGAUGUGGCUUACUUUUGAGGCAUCAAGAACCAUCAGCACAAUGCCUGACGACUUUGAAACAGCAAUAACCUGUAAGGGAGAGCUAUGAUCAGAUUGCAACACAAAGGAUGAAAUUAAAAUUAAGGCAAAUUCUAGGGACGAAACUGAAAAAGGGGUCAAACUUCAAGGACUAACUUAGACUCUUGGGAUUGUAUAGAAAAAGGGGCAGAACUUCGGGGACUAAAGUGUUGUGAACUCAUAUGAUGCAGCUUCAGAAUUCGUCCCGGUUAAUAGGGUUAAGAGAGUUGACUUCCCCACACUGCCAAGGAAAGACACAAAGCAAGUUAUUUCUGGUUGUAAAUAAUUAAACAACAAAACUCACAAUACUUCAGAACAUGAUACUAUAACAUGUGUAUAAUGUCAUAAGAUAUUUAGUGGAGAAGAUUGACACAUACUCAAAUUUUACCACUUUUUCAAGUUUGAUGUGUAUUAACUUAAGAAAGGAUCAUUAAUAAGCUUAAAAUAGAAUCUUGCAUUUCUAAGAGCGGAAGAUUGAACAUAACAAUACAAAAUUGGGGAGUAAUCAUGUCUACAUAUAGGGAUUCACGCGUCUAUCGGAAAUCAAAAGAUAUGCAACUAACAACCUUCCACAACUAAGCAUAAACUCAGUUUACAUCAUAAUCAAGCUAUGUGUACCUAGCAUCUCCGGAUGCUACUUACAAAGCUUUGUGACUCUAAAAUCCAAGAGGUUUGACUAAAUUACAAUGAAUAUAUUUCUCUUUCCUCUGAUGUCUCAGGAUAUAUAAGAUUCUGGUCUACACAAAACCUUACUAAACAACAAUUAAACAACAACUAAACCUUAGUAAUUAAUCUGGAACAAUAGUCAUGAAAUGGGCAAUUACAAUGUACCAUUAAUAGAUCUAAAGCAUAAUCAAAUUAUACAUUAUAAUAUGCAAUUAAACAACAAAAUGCCUUAAUACGCAAAGAACAAAAUAAUUUCCAAAACAGUAAAUCAGAUAAAUCAUUAGACAAAUGACAAAAAGCUAAACUAAUGACAAAAAGCUAAACUGCUCAAUUACAAUAAGUGAAUCUAAUGAUAAAUGGGUGCACAAAAUUUUCUCCCUGGUCUACAAUUGAUCUUGUUCUGUCAACUCUUUCCACUUUACGAUUAAAUCAAAACCCGAAAAAAGGGGGAAAGGGAAAAAAAAAAAAAUCAAAAUAGGAAACAACAAUAAAACAAUAUCAACCAAAAUAGGACUCAAAAGUGAAUGAUAAACAAACCUUCCAGCACAGAUUCAACUGCACCGUUUGGAAUCAGAAGCUCGACUAUCCGCUGAUUAUCGUCGGUGGUCUCCAAAUGGACGACCCGUAUCCGCUUAUGAAUUUGGCGAGCCUGUGAACAUAGUCGAAAUGAGCAGAAAUGGUUCAGAAAUGGAUCGAGAUUCAAAGAAGAUUGUGGAUACUCGAUGCGUAUUCCCAGAAACUGCCCAGACAUGGAAGGAAAGCAUCACUUGGAGAGUAAAACAGGGAAAAGCAAGAGGUGCCAAAAAGUACUUCACCUGCUUGGAUAGAACCUUUUCUAUAAUUUUCCAAACAGGAAGAAUAAGGUCGCCCAAAACAAUAUCUUUAUCCACGAUAGAAAAAUUAUGAGGUAUGAGGUACAACUUUACCUGCUUAGAAGAGACCUCAUACUCAUCUUGCCAACCUUUGCUGGCUUUCUCGAUUGAGGACACCUUUCGAUACUUAUUCUUGAGCUCAGCUAAAGGCAUCUCUUUGGAAUAGAGCAAAAGAAAUAAUGAUAAUUAAUUGAAACUGAAAUUUAUUGAUAAGUUAAGCAUAUUAACCAAAUUAAGUACCUUAUUGCUUCCCCAAUCGCAGGGUGAAUUAUUUUAAAGACCCCAGCAAUUUUUUCACAUUCGUUUUCCACAAAUUUGCUCAACAAUCUAUCCCUUCUUGAACCUCUUACAAUGCCACCUAAGAAACAAUGCCAAAAACCAUACCAUUAAUGAUGCAACAAUCUACAGUCAGAUUAAAAAUAACAGAAAUGAAGAUCUAGAAUUUACUUGCCUUCUUACCAAAUAAUGAUGCAAUAAGUGAGAUAAAACGCUCUUCUAGCUCUUCUUGGUAGCUCUAUUUCUUAUUCUUUUUGCUGACUGGAAUCUGAACAUUUACAAUUACAAAAGAACAUAGAAAAUUGAACAAGGAAUCAGAACAAUGAGACAAUUUUUGAAAAGGAACAAAGUAAUUAUAUUUUUAAAAUCAGAAAUAUACUUUUUAAAAACAGAAAUAUACUUUUGACUCAAGAUACACACAAAGUAGGCACAUAAGAUUAUGAAAAGGAGCUAAAUGAGAAAUGGGAGAGAUGCUCUAUUUUUGACAUUGAAGUGGAGAUGGCACUGGUACAAGAAAAACUAAAGGAGCUAACUGAAAAUAAAGCUUCAGAAGAUACUGUAAGGCUUUCAAUGAAAAAAUUAGGCCUGAGAAGGUACAAGAAACUUAUUUAGUUUGUUCAUUAUUUCCUUGAAGAAUCAUAAAUAAUACAUUCACGAGUCCAUCAGUUUUAAUUUGGAGCUCAUGGUUUCUUUGAAGCUCACAUAUUAACAUUUAAAGAGAAAAAGGUUCUACGAUGAAAAGAGAAGCUAUUGAGAGUGGAUUACAUGAAGCUAAUUUGAUCAUUCUCACAUAUAACUAUUGAACAUACUAUAAAAUAUUUACAAAAUUUAAAGUUGCACAGUCAAACAAGUUGUCAGUACUCCUAAGCAACAAUAACCCAAAUGCUACAUGCUGAUUGUUAAAAUCCUUUAACAAAAACUCUGCUACAUGAUACUAUUGAUAAUACUAUAACCUUACAAGAUUAGCAGGAAUAAAAAAUCCAAACUUGUAGCCACAACAGGAGAAACUAAUUGUUCUUUAGCUGGGGCAACUUUUCAGUCAAUAUUUUUUUUUUCAAAUUAAAUGAUGAGCCUUCCCAUCACAUUAGGGCUCAAACAUUUGGGUGGUCUAACACUUACACAUUUACAAAAGCAAUGGGAGAGAUGCUUUUCUACAACUUAAGGCGGCACCUUCCCCUUGUUAUAUUGCGCCCAACCAUAGUUACAAGUACUUGCAAGGAACCAUUUCCUGGAUGGAUAGAGGGAGUAAGGUCAGCUUGAGUGAAAUUUGAACCUUGAGCUUUUAUUUGCUAAUCCCUAAGAUCUAUUAAUUGAAGUUAAAAAUGGGUAAUUGCAGAACAACUGAUGCAUUUAUCACUGGCUAUGGCAUGGGACAUCUAAAAUAUAUACCAGCAGAUGUCACAACAAUCUUGGACUUGGUAUGCUAUCUUUGGAGCAUAUUAUAUUUCUUUGUUGCUCUGUUUUAGUUAGGUUAUAUAUAUUGUUUGCCAUUGAGAUUUGUAUUUCUAUACACAAACAGAACAAGAAAAAAGAAAAAAACUAUUCAGCAUGUUAAUUUGGUAAAAGGUUUCCUUGUUAAUUUCUCAAAGAUGCCAAAGUUCUUUUUUCCACUAACAUAAAAUUCUUGUUAUCUUCACUUUAAUGUUGCAUGGCAACUUUUUUGACUAAAUACUAGCUAGCAUGACUAAACUAAUCAGUUACUUGAGAGUUGAGAGACAUCUCACCUGCCAAAUUAGAAAAAGAUGAAGCAGCAUAACUGCUAAAAAAAUUGCAAUUACAAAACAUUCUAAACAAAAAAAGAAGUCAUAUUAGUAAGAAUCCAUAUACCUGAAAAAAUAAUAAACAGGCCACAAGAAACUUUGGUAAAAAAUUCUCAUUAAAUACAUGGAAUAGCAUCUGCAACCACAUGAACCUGAUAUGAGCAACAACAAGGAUCUGGUUGCUACAAAACAUGUACAGAAGUUGGCAAAAAAACCAUAUAAUGGAAACUUUCAAAUUCACACUUUUAUUGAGAAAUGGGAAACCCAAUGCGAAGGAGCCAUGAUGCACCAAGAAUGGAUAAUAGUGGGCAAUUUUGUUACAAAUUUCAUAACAAAAGUUUAGCCUAAAAAAUAUUCAAACCUAACAUGAUGCGCUUGUAUGUUUAAAAUGCUUGAACGGAACUGAGCUGAUGAUGAUGACGUCCUUUCAGUUAUUUUGUCAAUCAUCUUUCAUGCAACAGUGGCGUUUCCUCUAUUUUCCUUUUAGAUUUCUAGAAUAUACGUGAUCUAACCAUUUCUAAUAAAACAAUUUAGGAACCUUACAGGCCAUUAAACCGAAAGUUGCCACUUGAAAUCUAUAUGCCUACUCACAUAAGGGUAUCAUUUACAAAAAAAGAGAAGUGAGUAAUAUUUCCUAAAUAGCUAGAAUUGUACUNCAAGCCGGCUCAUUUAUUAAUGAGCCAAAAAUGAGAUAUCUCAAAAACAAAUUUAUUAGAAAGGAUAUAUAUAAAAAAUAAAUUUAUGAGAUCUUAACCAUUAGACUUUAAUUUAAUGAUUAAAAUUUUACAUAUAAAUGAGCCUUUUUAUAAUUGAGCUUGCUUUUAUAUUUCUAUUUUGCUAAAAAUGAAAUAAUAAUAAUAGAUAUUAUAUAUAUAUAAUUGUUUAUUUAUAUAUAUAAAUAUAAAUUAAAUAAAUUAUAUAAAUGUAAAAUAUAUGUACUCGAGCUGUUAUCGAGCCGGACACGAACGAGCUGACCCCAGCUCGUGUUCGGCUCGUUUAUUAAACGAGCUGAAAAAUUCAGCUCGUGUUCGGUUCGUUUACUAAACGAAUGAUUCGAUCUCGAGCUCAUUUCGAGCCGAACACGAGCUGGCUUGUGAACGGCAAGUUGGAUUGCCACCCCUAUCUACGUCUUGAACAUUUUAUGAAAUACAUGGCUUUUUUUUUUUGUGAGGAUCACAAUAAGUCAAGCAUUAAUCCAUUUCCUUUCUUCCAUAUUGCCUUUGUAGUUUUUCUUUUUUUAAAUUUUUUGCCUUCCUAUAUUUCACUCGCACUUACCUUGAAAUGUAUUCAUUCUGGUUGUUUUUUGUUUAGCACUGUAUGAAUCACAUAUUGUUAAUUGUUUUGUGGAUAAUUUUUAGUCGAGUGCUAUCUCAAAUUAUAUAAUUUUGAUCUCUAGUAGGAGUUCAGAAAUGCUAAUUUCAUGACUUCUAAAUACACAUUCCAUGUCGAACAAAAGGUUUAAUGCUGCUUUCUAAUUUUUCUUGCCUUUUCACAGUUGGUGGAGAAGUUGGCGGAUGCAAUCGAAACUGGAACGAAGGACCAGAAUUUUGAUAAAUUGGUUCGAAAUCCCUCUUACCCUACCCCUUCCUUCCCUUUUCUAUGCGACAUCUUUUUGAGUUCAGUGUAUGUUCUCUAGUAUAAAGAACUUCUAGCUUUCUAAAACAAGUAAGGCUUUAUAGAGAUCUUAACGUUUGCAUUUGAUUUGUUGUAGACUUUAUUUAGUAUCUAUAUCCAAGUAUUUCACUAAAGUCUAUGUUGGUUUGCUGUUACUCAGUUCCUUUUUAUGCCACUCAAUGUUUGAGUCAUUUGAUUCUUUGUUGUCUCUGUUUGUUAGUGAUCAAUCUUAGCCUGUUCAAAGUCUUGAUCAGAAUGUAUGGCUCGAAUCAACUUUCCCUCACACUCUCUCUCUCUCAUAUCUUGAGUAGCACCUAGCUGCCAAAAAAAUAUAAAGAGAAAAUAAAAUUCUUAGUGGGUCCACAGGUGCUGUGCAAUGCACACUCUAACAAAGUUGCUGCAGCUUCCUAUGUAUGGAUGGAAUUUUGUGGCCCCCUACUUGGUCCUGUGGAGAACAUAGAACGCUUCCCAAGAUUUUAGAAAAGUAGGAAUACAACUUAAUUAUUUUGUUUAUUGAUCUUCUUGAUUACCUUGUUUGUUAAUUUUCUUGUUUUGUGGUUUCUCGGUCUCUUUAAGGUCCACCUUUUGAUCUUGUUCCUCUCCUCUUUUCUUCUAAUCCGUUUUCGCUCUGGGAAACCCAGCAGGAAUCCCUUUCGGGUUCCUUUUCAACAAACCACUCUCCCUUAGCUUCGUUAGGCACCCGUUGAAUACCUAUGUGCUUAUUCACAAGGAGAUAAGUCUGUAACUGACUUUUAAGAACGGAGUGCUGAGAUACAUAACCUUUAAAUUUAGGCACAUCUGCCCAAAUUGCUGGAGCCCAUUCUCUAUUGUGCAUCAGAACAUUCAUCAAUUUCAUCUUCUUAGUAUUUGCAUUAACCUUUGUUUAAUCAAAUCAAUAUGAUGUACAACAACUAACAUCCAUUGUUUUCCCAUGUUGCCUGUAUUAGUUUCUCGACAAACCAUCCAAAUUGGUAGUGAUGUAGUUAUGCCUCCAAAAUUGUUAUUUUUUUGUCACAUCUGAUUAUUUGUGGGUACUACUUUUCUUAGUCUUUAGCACCAUAUGCAGGUCUCUAUGACUCUAAAUAAGAUUCUCUAUCGACCACACUGCAAUAGUUUCUUCCCCCAUUUCCAAUAUGACUCUUUGAGUUUGAUUCACACAUUGUACAAUGUGUUAUAUCUUCUUCAUUUCUGUACAUGGGUCCUCAAGUGCUCUUCCCUUGUAAUAUUUUGUAUGUACUGUUUUGUUGAAUACUUGCAUUACUGGUAUACUUCACAUUUGUGUCUUAAUCUAAUAGGUUUGUCAUGCUAAGUAGCUAUUAACAAGGAUUUGCAUUUUGCUUGCCUUAAUUCUUGGUACUGAUGUACUAAUAUGAUUUAAUCUUAUAUUAGGUUGAUGACUUGACCACCCAAUUUGCAAGGUGUCAACAACUACUGAACUCUAUAUCAGGAACAAUAAGUAGCAAGUCUAUGGUAAGUUUAAUCAUAUAUAUACGUAUAUAUUAUUGAUGAGAUGAAACAGCUCACAAAUCAUAACUUAAGUGACGUUUGCUUGAUUAUUAUGGUUAGGGUAAUUGUCAUAAUAUUAGUUUAUUAAUCUCUGUAUGUUUGAGAUAGCUAAAUUUAUUUUCCAGAAAGGCAUUGUCUAUAUAUAUUCUAAUUCGGUUUUAGUGUCAAUACUAGUACAUCUUUACAAAUUAAUCUUAGUUUGGUAAAGGUAAUAGAUGCGACCAAAAAAGCAACAAUAGCGGAGCUUUAGUUCUCAACGCAUUUGUGUUAUUUACUUGCACCAUCAGCUUGUAGUUGCUUUAAUUUGAGUUAUUUGAAUUGCAUCGGAGUUGUUAAAAUUAAUGGCCCAUUAGUUAUUAGCUGUUAACAGUUAAUAAAAUCUGCAGCUCCACCAUUUGGAAAAGCAUUCAUAACAGUUAAACCUAGUAAAAUCAUUGUUAUAUUUAACAAAAUCCCCAAUAUAAUUGAUGGAAAGAACUUUAAAUCAAAGGACUAAAAAAUUUAUGGCUUAAAUAAAAAGAAAAUUAGUUAAGGGUCUGUUUCAAAAUGGCCUAUAGCUGAUGGUGCCCUUGUACAUUUUUACCAACAAAAUUUCAUCCUUGUGUGCACCAUAUAAUUGAGCUUGUAUUUAACAUAAUUAGUAGUUGAGAUAUUGGUUCCAUCAGUUGCAACCAAUCAUUGGGGACCUUUUUACAAAAUAACCCUCUAAAAUUUUGUAAUUUGCAAAAUAACUCUAUAAAAUUUAUAUUUGAAAAACUAACUCUCUUUUCGCUAUGUAGGCGCCAUGUCAGAUAUUUCUUCUAAAGACGAUGAACCAUUCUCCGUCUUUGUAAUAUAACUACUAAAGGCAGUGAACGAUUCUCCGUCUUCGUAAUAUAAGUAUUGAAGACGGUGAAUGGUUCACCGUCUUUAAUACAAACUGAUCAACCUUUUUUUCCUCUAGCCUUUAACAACAAUUUUUACAAGUUUGGAGCAAGAAUUUUCACGAGAAUAAAAAUUUCAACAAGAAAAACAAUAAGACAAGAAGAACAACAAAAUACAACCAAUUUGGUAGGAAUAUCAACAAAAACACAGAAAGUUUAUAAAACUAUGAACUAAAUAAAGAGGUAUAUAAUAUUACACAUGUUAUACAAUGCAUUCGAUCUAAAUCAUAUAAAUGUCAGUCUCGAGAUCUUCCUCUCCCUCGACGUCCUCGGCCACAUCCGCGUGCACGCCCAUGUCCACGUCUACGCCCACGAUCAAUAUCGAGUUCAACAGGAGGUACGUCAUCAACAUCGAGCUUAACAGGAGGUACGUCAUCAAGUGGCUCGAUACCUGCCAUCUGAUCGAGAUUCUUAAUAAUAAUGCCCUCAUGAUGCUCCGGAAACGCCCGAGUCUCCUCUGGCAUAGCGGCCGGUGUAGAUGUUGGGCGGUGUUGUGAUGAUGACGAGCCAUGACAACGAGAAUAUAUGGAUCUAAAAUAUGUACACGGCACUGGUGGCGGAAGCGAGUCAAACGUUGAAGGAAAUGUCGAAGGGGCGUCGGGCAUAGCUCUAACGUCAGUGGCAGAUAGAGACCGUGACAUCUGCUGGCUUGAUGUCGAAUGAGAUCGAAUAGGAGACGGAGACCAUCGCAUUUGAUGACCCGAUGUCGAGGAGUGAGCAUAAUCUUGACCCACUGCAUCUCUGACAAUAGGUAUAGCAGGAACAUGCUCCAGUACCAUCUCAAUAUGGGCACAGAUGCCCGUUAGAGUCUCUAGCAUCGUAUGGGUUCCAGGGGGAUCAUCAACUAGCUGUCUGAUGCUAUAGUUAGUCUGUCGUAAUGCCUCCACCUUUAUUAUAGAUAAAAACUCAUUUUAUUUAUUAUAUUAAUUAUAAGAUUAAAAUAAUAAUUUAAUAUAUGAGUGAUUGUACGAAAGCUCGGUCUGCCCAUGAGGCUGGAAAGUCAACGAAGGACGUUGUAUUGGACGAGAAAUCCAUCUCAUUAUCGUCUAAUACCACUGCAUAUAAAUAGAGGCUACCUGUAUCGGAUCAUCACCAGCAAUCAACAGUUAGUCGCAAAUAUUCUGUAAUCUCUCUCCCAAUCUCUCUAUGUGUGCGUGAAAGAUUGCCUAAUCCUCAUCUGGCCGCCUCUGAGAAGUCACAUGACGGAUGGUCUCCACAUUAAUGGGUAUAUGCUGGAGAAGACCAAACUGUCGUAGGACUUGAUCCGAUAUAUGCAUAUUUAGAAUAUGAAAACAAAUCAACGUAGUUCUCGAUCGCCAGACCUAACAGCCCGGUACACAAAAUGUCGGUAGUGCGGCUAUAAUAGUAUCUGUGUACAGCCUCCAUAUAAUCUAUGAACAAGCUAAUAAUCAGCUGGAUGUAUUAAUAUGUUUGUAUAAUAUUAAAAAAGAUGGUUGCAUUAAUACGUAACUGGGACUCUCUCUGUUGAUCUAACUUAUAACGAUAAAACUUAAUAUCUGUGGUCCUGACAUUAGCUCCAACUCGUAAUCAACCAGCAUUCGCCUACUUAAAAUUUAGAAGUAUACGUGUUAGUUGCAAUUAUUUGAAAAAUGCAAUGUAUCAAAUAUAUAUGUCAUAUCGGCAACCCAAAGGGCAAUUUGCUAUAUCGGGCAUAGCUCCAACGCCAGUAGGUCGCCCAAUAUGAAUAUGGUCCCACACUCAAGUCUAUAAAUAAAUUACAAUAAAUUAAACACGAGAAGCUUAAUAUAAUAAUUAUAAUAUUACUUAUUAUACCUGUAAUAAUGUUGCAAAGCAACAACAUUCUGCCAUUCCUUUUAAUGAAGCCACUCCCAACGCCCGAUAAAGAUAGGCCAAAGCUGCUGCACCCCAUGCUAAGCCGCCGCACUCAUCAAAAUCCUCUAAAAGUGGAAGCCACUUCAGAUGAACUCUAAAUUUGAUGGGGUUUGAAAUAUGUUACACCCAAUUUGAUAUAACAUGUAGGCGCGUGUUGUAUCUGCAACUACUACAGGGGCGUCCAAAUAUUUUGUGGUGGUAAUGCUGGUAUAACCAAUCCAGUCUAAUCUGACCAGCUCUGAUGUCAUCCGGCACAGCUUCUAAAAACAUCUGACAAAUAUCCGACCACGAGUGCACUGUAAUACUAGUCACGGGCUCACCAUCCACACGAAGACUAGAAAUAACUACGAUAUCUUGAAGUGUAAUCGUCAUCUCAUUGUGGCGGAAGUGAAAAAUCUGUCUCCCGUCUCCAUCUCUUAACCAUAGCUCCUAAUAAAGCUUGAUCCAGCUGCACGCGCCUAAGGCGUGAUAUGUAGUAGAAUCCGGCUUGUCAUAGAAGUUCGAGCACUGCUGGAUGGUCAAGAUCCCACUGGUUUAACUUGCGGCCAUGCUCUGUGAACUGAAUAGCACGGUACACCUGCAGUUAAAAAAAAAUAGUUAGAUCAUCAUUUCAAUUUAUUAAUAUUAUGAUAAACUUUCACUUAAAAUUGUUGGCUCUCACCUCACUCCUGAUAAAUCCAGUCCUAUGGAGAUGCUGCUCUGUCAGGACCGACGAAUCAACCGGUUCCGCGUUCUCUAGAUCUGUCAUCUGUAAUUUUAAAGGUUUUGCAAUUAAUAACAUAUUAUAAAAAUACUCAUUAAAUAUUGAAAGUUUUGCAAUUACUAUUAUAUUAGGUAACAAGUCUUACGUUGACGUCCUCUUUCUGUAUUGUGGAUAGGUGUUCCUAUAAUGGGCUUAUUGUUUACAAAUUCUACAUUUUGUUCAUCGCCCUACGAUUUCGUCCAUUAUAUUACAAAUACAUGUAGAUCGUGGACGACCUUUCUUCCUUCUCACCAAGAUUUAAAGUGUCGUGGCACGGAGGGUCGUGCCAUUGUUUGCCUGGCACGGUAUGGCACUGGCACGUUUCCGUGCCGACACAUGGUACGCUUGUAUGCUGAUGGAUACGCAUGACCUCCUACUGGUACGCUUUGGCACGGACUUUUUUUUUUUUUUGGUUUCAAUAAGCUCUUAUAAUAUUAUUUUGAAAGAUUUAAUCAAAUAAUUAUGAAUAUUUGCUAUGUAUAGCUUACUAUAUUCAUUAAUUAACAUACUUGUAAGCUUUUUUGUAUGUAAAGUACAAUUAUACAAGAUGCAGAAUAGAAAUUUUUACAUGUUAGAAUUUUUAAAAUGCAAAGACAACUUUUUUUCUUUUUUACUUUUGACCAUAUUACAGCCUUUUUUUUAUGAAAUACAAAAAAAUAAUUUUAAAAAUUAUUUGAAAAAAUUAUUUUAAAAAGUAUUUGAAAAAAAUAUUUUUUAAUGAAUUUUUUCAAAAAAUUAACAGAUCUAUCAAAAAAAAUUAAGCAAUAAAUUAUAUAACAAAUAAAUUAAAUAAAUUUAAGUAUCAAUUGAUUUAAUUUAGCUUUUAAUUUUAUGAAUAUUUUCAAUCUCUAGCGCAAAAAUAAAAUUUUAUGUUUGAUGUGGCUCAAAAUUUGUUUAUUGAGUUUGAUUUGUUGCCUUAAUUCGCCAAAAAUUGUGGUGCAAUAAAUUUUGAUAAAAUAAUUUGUGAAGAAAAAAUUGAUGUCUAUGGUGGAAGCGGAGGGCUCGGACAAAUCUUUUGUCCGUAUAUUGAUAAACAAAAAAAAAUUAAAUUAUAAUUUUUUUGACUUACCUAGUAAGUAAAUUUUCGAUUUGUAAUGUCUUUGGGGGAUGUGGGGUACCCAGAAUGCUUUGAAUACCCCAAAGAACAAAACAAAAAGAAAAAACAAAAAGCAAAAAAAAAAAAAAAGAAAACAAAAAUAAAAGAAGCAGAGUGUCGGCACAGCACUGCGCCGUGGCACGCUGCGCCGUGUUGCUUUGUCUCGUGCGGCAUGGUGCUGCGUGCCGCGGCACGGAGGGAGAGACCCCCCCUGUACCGUGCUACCUUCUUAGUGGCACGGUACGUAUGGCAUAGGGCGGCACUUUAAACCUUUCUUCUCACGGGAGGCGGUACAAUUGGUGGGCCCUGGGGUCGUGGCCAAUGUCGCAUAUCCGGAACAUGAUGGAAAUGUGGUACGUAUGUCUCGCGAUAACAAUCAACAGUAUACCAACGAGAACAAAAAUUAUGAAAGUCUAUUCUUCUCUCCGAAAUACUGCAAACUGUUAAAAGAUGCAAGCAAAGUAUUCCAGUUAGCUGGAAUUUGCGGCAAUAACAAUCCGCAUCUGUUCCAUUCAGGGAAACCUUGUAUUUGAAAUCUCCGGUAUUGACCUCAAAUUCAGAAAACCCAAAUCGAUGGACAAUGUGUCCGAUGUCCCUGUGUCGUUUCCAUAUUCAUUGUAAUUCGACUUUGUAUUGUAGGAGCUAACGUGCCUGUCAUACUGUCACUAUCUUCACGACGUUGUAAGAAAUUACUAUUAAGUUUGUAAAAUAUCCCCGCGACAAAAGCCGUGACAGGCAGAGCAUGAAUUCCCUUAAGUACCCCCUAUUUAAACUUUCUGACAGAUUCGUGGUCAACCCGAAGCAUUGUCCUUCAUCAAAUGCUAAUGCUCAAUACUCUUUGUAUUUUUCGAGAUCAUCCACCUAUUUCCAAGCCUUUCUUAAGCUUAUAAUAUUCUACUGAUAUUGGAGCACUAUUAAUAGUAUAGAAUUUGUCCAAUAACGACUCAUUUUUAAAACGUUUAUUCAUAUUGGUUUUCAUGUAUUGAAGGCACUACCGGUGUGCAUGCUCCUAUCGAGAAGGGUAUAUUUCAGCCACUAUUUCGUUUAAGCCACUAAAUCGAUCAGAUAUAAAGCAAACCUAUGAUUGCGUGUAACAUAUUGAUGCAAGUUCUGUAAAAACAAAUCCCAACUUCCACCAUUUUCUUCUUCUCCUCUGCAAAUUGCAAAUGCUAAAGGAUAAAUGCUAUUAUUUGCAUCUACAGCUGUCGCUAUCAAUGCAUGGCUUUUGUAUUUGCCAUACAACUGAGUGCCAUCAAUGCUCACUACUGGCUGACAGUGUGUGAAUCCCUGAAUAGAAGGACCAAAUGACCAAAAAACAUGACCAAACCGAUAUAUUUCGUCUGAUGGUCAUCUAUGAUCAAGGCGCCAUAAAGUAUCAGGAUUAUUUCUCUGCACCAUAGUAAGAUAACGAGACAAGUCUGUGUAUGACUGUUCCCAGCUUCCAUAAAUAAUUUGUAAUGCUUUGCUCCGUGCUAGCCAUGCCUUCCAAUAGUUAUGUUAACAUGCAAAUUGGAUCGUAUUGUUUUCUGUAUUUCUUUUGGCGUCAUAUUAAAUUUUGCCUUCAUUAGUAGGAGAAUUUCUUGACAUAGGAGACUUGAAGUACAAUUAUGGUGUGACGCAUUUAGCAUUGGGAUUACAUGUGUAUUGACCUGCAUAUGUCUUAACUCUGAAGUAUGUUGUAUCUUUAGAAACCGAAGUAUGUAAUCUCCAAGGACAUCCCUCAACCGUGCAUUUUACUGUAUAACUCGUUUUCGUGGAUUUCAAAACCUUCAUCUGAACAUUAUGAGCAAUGUGUUAUCGAUUUAGAGCGUCCACUAAAGAUGUCUUAUCAUAAAAGAUUCGACGAAUCCAAGUCCCGUCAAUGCUAGGUAGACCGACAUUGGUCCGUCUAACAUUGAACUCAGUCGAAUCCACAACAUACUGAUUUAUUCAAUUAUUAUCUGCAGGAUAGUGCUUCGGAUGGUCAAUAAAAUCAAGUUCCUUGUCAAGUUGUCUACAUAUUUGUUGUUUACAUGUGGGUCGUCGUUUCCACUGUAAAUGACAUUCGCAAGACAAUUUAACCCACCAUCCUGAUCAUCAUCAAUGUCUGUAGCUAGAUCAUUCCAAUCGUCGUCCUUUCUGCUAUAAUGAUCAUCAUUAUCGAUGGGUGCAUCCUCCUAAUUACUGUCAUUAUUACCUCCUUCAUCGAUAAUAUUAGUAGGAACUUCAUUCCAAUGUUCAUAGAACAUAAAUAGCCUGCAAUGGGUCUCGAAACUUUAUUGUGUUAAGUACAUUUUCACAUAUUAUUAAUAAAAAAAUAGAUUUUUCUUUACCCUCAAUCAUAAGGUUCUAAUUAUAUAUGAGACAUGAUAGGUUCUACACAGGUGGUCGUCGGUAGUGCAUGGAAUAUCGUGGGUUCCUCACGUGAGGUUGAGAGUUCCGCACGUGAGGUUGAGGGAUGCGCAUGUGACGUUGAGGGUUGCGCACGUGAGGUCGAGGGUUGUGUACGUGAGGUCGAGGGUUGCGUUUGUGGAGACUUUGUCUGAAGUAUUUAUAAUUUAGUAUUAUCAAAAUAUUUAAUAAUUAAAGAAAAUAUUUACCGAAAUCUAAAGAUUUCACUUGUCAUCCUGACGCCUGUUUCGUUACCAAUUUUGCAGUCACCAGUUGGAUUAUUCAAAAAACCCACAUCAAUAUCAUUAUAAAGCAGUCUUGUGUAAUAGCCUUGCGAUUGAUAUUAUGUUUCCGACGGAUAUAAAUCUUUCUCGAUGUAUACCGACAUAUAUCUGUAAUAUUCAAAUAAUGUAAUCAUUCCCUCCAAUGAUUCAUCAUUUACUAUUUUGUAAGCUAUAUAUUCAUUCGCUCCCGUAAGGCGUCGUGAAUUUGAGAUGAAAUUCUUCUCUACUACAAUUUGCUAAACGAUACAUUCUCGUCUCAAAAUUAGUAAAUGUCGUAUCUGAACGAAUCGCAAUCAAUUUCUUUCGACCGCCGACAUAUUGGGGAUUAUUUUCAUCCGUAACUAAUUGUCCAUCCCAAUGAACACUUAGAGACAUCCGACGACUAGCCAUUUUAAUUAUACGGAAAAAAUUUUCAAAUCUCCUCUCAAAAUAUUUAGUCAAUAUAAUAGAAAAAAAUAAUAAAUAAAAAAGGAAAGGAACCACAUGGAGGCUCCCCUACCCCACGCAAAAAUCCAACAAAGAUUUUUGAGAAAGUUUGUUGGAUUUUUCGCCAAUUGAUUGCUGAACAGAAGAAAAACUUUUUAACAUUUUAAGUUUCAAUUCAUUGGGAGUUUUAACAGGGUAGAGCUUAUAUUUACCAAAAAGUUGCAUCUGAAUAGGAUUACGACUACUCACAACAGAAGUAAAAGAGUUGGCAUAUAAAUUAGUUGUUUGGUAUCGUUUAUCAUAAUGUCUGAUUAAACAUGAAGCACAAUCUCAAGUCUUUUACUACGAUUCAAAUCGUCGUUAUCAGGACAAAAUAUCAGCUUAUCUAGGUUAUAUCUAUUUUCCAACUAAACCCUUCCAAUGUGCUCAACUCGUACUCGAUGGCUAAUGGCUUAAAAGUUGGUAUCUGAGGUCCCAAUUAUAAACCUAGACUUUUACAAUUUUAACCUGUUGCUAGAAUGCCAACAGUGGUGUGUUCACAAUGCCAAUAUUGCUAAUAAACAGCAAAUUAAAUAGAAGAGUCCAGGAGUUACCUGUAUGUCAGUGAGGGCGAGGUCGGCGCACGUCGACAACGAAAAACACAGUCGCAGUCCAGGAGCUACCUGCAAUGUGGGCUGUUGAGGGAGGUGGCGCGGUUGGCAGGGACCGGCGAGUGGUCCGGGAGAGGGAGGGGCACAUAGAGAGAGAGAGAGAGAGAGAGAGAGAGAGAGAGAGAGAGAGAGAAAGCAUGAGAGAGAGAGAGGCGUCGGGACGGUAUGCCUAAUGAAGGCGGUGAACGGUUUACUGCUUCCAUAACGCGGUGAACGGUUCAUCACUUUUAGAAAGCAGUGACCCGUUCACCGCCUUCUCAAGGCACAUUCUCUAUUUUCCUCUCAGAACUUAGAAAAUUUUGGAGGUCGAGGUUGGGGGGGGGGGUGGAUAGACGGUGAACCAUUCACCGUCUUCAAAACUUGUAUUACAAAGACGGUGAAUCGUUCACCGUCUUGUAAUGAAAUGUCCACCUGGCUUCUAUGUGGCGAAAAGAGGGUCACUUUUCCAAAUAUAAAUUUGAAAGGGUUAUUUCGCAAAUUACAAGAUUCUAGAGGGUUAUUUUGUAAAAACCUCCAAUCAUGGGACAUAGCAAAUAAGAUCCAUAUUAUUAGUUAUUUCCUACAAAAUUUUGCCCAUUGGGAAAAAAAGUGCAGAUAUUCUCCAAUGUCCUCUUCGUCUUAUAAAAUGUAAUGGCGCAUGGCAUGACGCAGGCAUUUGAAAAAGGUUAAGAUUUGAGAAGAACAUGAAAAUUUUGAACCUCUCUUAAUACAUAUUUCAGUAGUAUACAUGUGGUAUAAAUGUGAAAACCAUGUGGUUUAUUUUUGUCUUAACAAUCAAUGCCAGCAUAUCUUAAGUUCCAUGUCAUUUCUCUUUUGUUAGGUUUGUUAUCACUAGAAAAUAUGUUCUUGUGUUUAUAUGCACUUCAGUAAUGACAGUUGAUUCGUAAUCGUUGAAGUUCUUCAGAGGUGUUAACUUUCAAUCCUUCAAUGAGAUUGUGGUUCAACUCUACAUCAAUUAUCCUGUCAUCUUUUCUAGACAGAAGUGUUAAUAUUCGUAGAGAAUCUUUGUUUUAUAUGUUUCUUUAUGUUAAUGUGAGCAAUGGCGGUUUCCUGUGGUUUAAAGUGCUACCAUUGUUGUUUGUGCAUGGUUGAUGCACUAAACAUAUCUCUAAUAAAAGUUAGGAUUGCUUCAUCUUUUACUGGUGUAUGUAGCUUUCUUACAUAUACUAAUUGCUUUUUCUAUAGACAGUUGAAGGACAAAAGCGUAAAGUUGAAGAAACUAUGCAACAGCUCAACCAAAGAAGGUUCGUUUUUCUUUUUUAAGAAUUCCUCUCCCAAAAUUCAGAGAGUAGGUUGAUAAAGACUCUUCUUCCAAAUGUAGUUCUAUUGACAGUUUAAAUGUUUAUAUCAGGGAACUGAUUAGCAAGUACAGAAGCUGCAUUGAAGAGCUUGUUAAAUCUGAUAAUAUAAGAUAAGAGUCGUUUUGACUACUUGUAGCUUAUGCUGAGAGCUUAUGUAGUUGUAUCCUUGUGAAAAUAGUGUAUAAAAACUGAAAGUUGUUUCACUCGAGUCUUGAAAUGUGGAGGAACCUUUGGUUAGUUCAGGUUUACCUGUUGUUAUAUGUGAGGUCAGCUAGGAAUCCGCCAAAAACCCCCCCGAAGAGAAAUUAGGAGAGAACAUUGGUGUUUGGAGCCUAAUAUUUUUCUUUGAAGUAAAUGUUAUUUAUUACAGUUAGGUUUUAUUGUUUUUAGUACAGGCCUAGAAAUUAUGGACUGGCUUGACAAUUGAAUUGCUUGAUUUGCCAUGUAAGUGAUUAUUUUUGGGAUGCUUGUAUUGCAAUUUUUGUGUGCAUAGUCUCUUUGCAUGCUGGAAGUGGCUGUUUAUUGUCCCUAGUGCAAGUGACAAGGGACUUAAUGGUUUGUAUCUGAGAUCUCAAGUUCGAAGCUUAGUUGUUUUAUGUUUUUAGUUAAGCUUAUUUCUAAAAGAAGGAACGAAGCGGAUAUUAUGCUAUCUUUCUCUCUCAAAGAAGUUAAAAACGGUGGCUGCUUAUAGAUAGUAUAUAACUGUAGAGCCGCAAACAUAUGGGUUGCUGCAACCUGCUAGCUCACUUGCAGCUGCUAGUUUUGAUUUUGUCUCUGGAUGCUACUGUAAACAUACUAAUUUAUCCAACUUUUAAGAGAGAGUGCAUUGUAUUCGGAACUUGUUCAGAAGUUUUAUUCGAACUCAACACUUUAGCGUAAUAUAGUAUUUCAUUGUUAAUCACAUCUUUGAAUGGCCAAAGCUCUUUAAAGCACCUUCCAAUGUUACAACAUGAUUAGAGAGCUUAAAAUGCUUUUGAAUUAUUUGUUUUCUUUGUGUGCGUUUGUGCACUGCAAUUCCUUAGCCGUAGCACCGCACUGAAGGGCGCCAUGGUUGUAAGCCGAACUAUCUCCGCAAGGUUUGUUCUGUUUUCCUUUUAUCUCCAUUCAAACGUUACUGUAAGCCUGGUUUGACCUGAACUGUAGCUCAUAAAAUCUUAAAAAAAGAAAAUUGAGCAAAACUUUGAGCAGAAAGAUACAAAUCAGAUUAUACGAAUGCCAUAUUUACAGAGAGUGAAAGAGAGAGUAAAAGGAUACUGAAAAUAUCAUUUAUAUCUUUUUGUUAUCUAUAAAUUCGACAUCCAUCUAUUAUUUGAUUUUCUUAUAUUUUGCAUGUGCAUCGUGGGAAUUACAAUAUUUUUAAGCCGUUUUCGAUAAUGGAGCUUCCGAACCGAUAAUCGACUCCGUUAGACUUGAUUUAACAUAUUUAAAGUAUCCAGAAAAUAAAUUUUAUGAUUUUUUGAUAUCAUUUACCUAGUGAUUGAAGCAUUCAAAAUCAACAAUUUUUAAUGGUUGAUAUAUAUUGCUUGUAAGUUUAACGGUGUAGAAAUAUUCAAAUCAGAUGAAUAUUUUUGAUAGAAAAUUCUUUAUAUUAUUUACUGCAAGAUCAAUAUCUCUGAUUGAAAAUUUUAGUGUUAUAUCACAAUUUUUUGUGAGAUUUUUAUUUUCAGUCGUUGAUUUUGAACCUUUUUGAUUGCUACGUAAAUGAUAUCGAAAAAUCGCAAAAUUUAUUUUCUAGAUAUUUCAAAUAUGCUAGAUCAAGUCUAACAGAGCCGAUCGUCGAUUUGAAAACUCCAUCAUCGAAAAUGGCUUAGAAGUAUGAAGGCCUCCGUGCUCCUACUAGCAUACAAGACCUAUGCUAUAUAUAUAUAUAUAUAUAUAUAUAUAUAUAUAUAUAUAUAUAUAUAAAACUAGGCUCGAAUACUAUCAAUAGCACAAAGCUAUUGGUGCCAUCAGGUUUUUGGCCUUUGGAUGAAAAAAUGUGCGGUUAGGAUGAUGUAGGCCCCCUAGUGUUGAGUGAGUUAUUGGUUGAAUAGUAUAAUCUAACGGGUGAAAAUAGUCAAAGGGUUAAAUCUAACGGUGGAAAAUUCGGUAGCACCAAACGCUUGGUGCUAUCGAUAGUAUUCUAGCCGAACUCUCUCUCUAUAUAUAGAUAAUUGAGCUCCGAUACUUUUAAAAGCACCAAGUUGUUGGUGCUUAUAGGUUUCGACUAUCCUUGGAUUAAGGGAUGUGCGAUUAUGAUGAUAGUGGUCCCAAGGGUUGAGUAGGUGGUUAGUCAAAUAGUAUGAUCUAACGAGUAAAAGUGGUCGGGGGUAGAUAUGAUGGCGAAAAACCUAUUUGAGCACCGACAACACCAUCGUCCAAUGGGGAGGCACUGAUGGAGGAUGAGCCGUUGAUGGAGGCAGAGCAGGAGCAGAUCAGGGAGUGGUUGGCGAGCUUUCGCCAAUUUGAUCCACCUCGAUUUGGCGAUAGUCACACCGAGCUCUAGGUAGUAGAGGCUUGGGUUGGAGCUAUGGAGAAGAUAUUUUAGGAUAUCUUUAUUCCAGAGCGGAAUUAGGUUCACUUAGCAGUACAUUGUUUGGAGGGUGAUGCUCAUACUUGGCGGCGGAGGAUUAGACCGACUCUACCUUAGGGUGCACGACGGAUGACAUGGAUCGACUUUUGAGGAUUACUGUAUGGGGCCUAUUUUUCAAACAAUGUGGAGAAGAAACUCGAAAAGAAUAUGAAGAACCUGUAGAAAGGCAAUCAGAUGGUGCAUGAGUACACUAGAAAGUUCAUUUGGUUGCUGAAGUAUGUACUAUUCGUCAUGACGGAUAAGACGCGCAAGAUUUGCUUAUUUGAGCAAGGUUUGAGGCCCAAAAUCUUUGUAUUAUUACAGGCUCAGCACCUUCGGGCUCUCGAUGUAGUGAUUCGGCAGGCUUUUUGGGUAGAGCAGGGUGCUACAGUCAUGAGGGAAAGGACUACAGUCAGGGCAGAGUCUUGAGAGGAAGCGCCCGACAGGCAAGCCUUAGGCCCUUCUGAUUCUAAAGUGAAAGUAGGACCAGAUCACGAUGGAUUUCAUUGUUGAAUUACCUCAAGCUCAAGAUAGAUUUGACACAGUGUAGAUGAUAGUAGACAGACUGAUCAAGUCUGCUUAUUUUCUACUGGUGUAGACGACAUGGUCCUGGGAUCGACUCGCAUAGUUGUAUUUGGAUGAGGUAGUGAGGUUACAUGGAGUAUGUACCGCGAUAGUACCAGAUCAAGACUUGAGAUUUGUCUCGCAUUUCUGCAGGAGCUUACAGACAGCCUUGGAUACUCAGUUGCACUUCAGUACAGCUUUCACCCACAUACUGAUGGACAGUCAGAAUAGAUUAUUCAGAUUCUAGAGGAUAUGUUGAGAGCUUAUAUCCUAAACUUUGGAGGAGGGAGGCAUAAACAUUUGAGAUUGGUUGAGUUUGCGUACAACAAUAGCUAUCAAGCGAGCAUUCAGAUGGCUCCGUUUGAAGCAUUAUAUGGACGCAAGUGUCGAUCACCCCUACAUUAGAGUGAAGUAGAUGAAAGUAAGACUUUGGGGUCAAACAUUCUUUUACAGAUAGAAAAAGAUCAUGGUUGCACAAUUAAAACAAUCCAAAGUCAGUAGGGGAGAUAUGCUGAUAAUAGGGACGAGACUUGAAGUUUCAGAUUGAAGACCAUGCGUUUUUGAAAGUCUCGUUGUCUAGGGGGAUUCGAAGAUUCACAGUUUGUGAAAAGCUAAGUCUGCAUUAUAUUGGUCCUAUAGAGGUUUUGGAGUGGGUUUGUGAGGUGCCGAACUUUUAAAAUUAUGAAGUUCCGGUGUAUGUUGGUUUGGAAAGUCAUUAGAGUGGUUCCGGUGAAAGUCGGAAGCAUUCGAGCGUUUUAGGUGCGCGUAGGCGCGAAAAUGGUACCCGGAAGGCUAUGUUGGACCAUGAACUAAAUCUGACAUUAGUGUUGAUGAAAAGAUGAUGAAAAUAUGCUCGAAAAUAUGUUUUGAGAAUCUCGGUGCGAUUUGAAAUGAAUCGGAGGCCAAACGAGCGAAAAUGAGUGGAAACAGAGAAGAAACGGACGGAGGCUGAAAUUUGGCUAAGUCCUUAAUUCGCUGGGCUGGGAGGACCUACGGGGUUUGGACCUUGCCUCCAAGGUCCAGACCCCGAGAGCGAAAAUAGCCCAGUUCGGGGCUGUGCAUAGAGCUGAUAUGUGAGGGGUUUUUAUGCAAUUUUGCAUUAGUUGGGGGCAAUAUGAAGGGGUGAGGGCCUUCUCAUCUCAUUCCUCUCAACCCUAACACCCAAAACACCUCUCUCUCUCACUCUAGAACCUCUCUCUCUCUCUCUCUUCAAGAAGGAAGGCAAGGAGGGGGAUUGAUGGAGGGUGAAGCUUGAAGAAGGAUCAUCAUCUUCUUCUCCUUCUUCUUCACCUUGGAGCAAGCUUAGAGAGGUUUUGCAAUAUGUAAGGGUUUGAUCUCAAUUAACCCUCUGUAAACCUAACUGUUAGGUUUCCUGACACGUUGGCGAAGUCGGUUCGGCGAUCCGACGAACCUACGAGAAGAUAUUGCUGAAAAAGGACCUUCCGACAUUCGUUUCUGCUUGGAGGGUCGAGGCGGUGUCCGUAAAUCACGGGAUCGGAUUCUGAGUAUCGUAACGAGAAAUCGAAGACCUUUAUUUUUCGGAUCGCGGAUCGGAGGUUGUUCGGUGGUCGCGUGUGAAUUGGGUCAAGCCGAGCGGCGUGCGCCGCGGGAGGCUGAUUGCGAGUGACGACGAGCAAUCGGAACGCUAUAAAAAGGUGGGUGGUGACUAUCCCGAAGCAGUUGAACUGCUCCCUAUGUCUAAGUAUUAUUGUUGAUCGAAUUGCAUAUUGUGCAUAUUGAACUCUUGCAUUAUAGGGUGCUUAAUUGGUUGUUUCAUAUUCUUGCAUGCUAGUGUAGUGUAGUGUAGUGUUGCUUGUUUGGCACCUGAACCUAGUAUGCAUGAGAUUGGGAAGUAGUGCUUUAGAACCCUAUAAUGAGAGGAUAAAUGUUAAUUUGAUCCUAGGUAGAUGAAAACCUAGUGAAUGUGUAAUUAGUGUAUUGGGAACACUUAAACAAGAACGAGUGUCAUCUAGUUAAUGUUGAACACGAGAACGAGUGGCAUCUAGACAAGGUUAAUAACUUGACGAGUGGCGUGACAAGUAGGGUAUAGAUGGAAAUACCUAUUGCAAGUCGAACUUAGGAAUGAACUAGUUCCCAAGUGAUGUUGGCUAUAGUGGCAGGAUAUCCUCAGUGACGGGGAUUUGAUCAUAUUCACAUGUCUGUUCAGAGCUUGUAGGCAGUCGCUCCGCACAAGCGUGCGCUCCGAAGUUGUCACAUGAUAGGGAUAGCCUUUUUGGGUCCCGAAGGGUGAGCCUUUGGGCCCCGCAGACGGUCUUGGGUGAGUAAGUAGAUUCUCACCUUGAGUGAGCGGUUCCUCACCUAUGAUUAUGUUGUGAGUCGAGUGAGUGAGUAGAUUCUCACCUUGAGUGAGCGGUUCCUCACCUAUGAUUAUGUUGUGAGUCGGGUGAGUGAGUAGAUUCUCACCUUGAGUGAGCGGUUCCUCACCUAUGAUUGGGUUGUGAGUCGGGUGAGUGAGUAGAUUCUCACCUUGAGUGAGCGGUUCCUCACCUACAAUUAUGUUGUGAGUCGGGCGAGUGAGCGGAUCCUCCCCGUAGAGAGUAGAUUGUGAGUCGCGUGAGUGAGCGGAUCCUCACCAGUGUGACCGAGUGGAUGUGGCACCUAUAACGGGGCCGUGGGAUUGAGACGUGAGAUUGAGGGCGAGCCCACGAGCUAGUCGAGUGAUUGGGUGAUCUAAUGAAUAGCAUCGUUGUUGGACAUAGUAGCAUGGUAGCUAGCCUUAUACUAUGUAGUGCAUGCAUUCAUAGCAUUUGAUUGAGGCAUAGUAGGAUACUUGCAUUUCUACUUACUUGCUAUUCUUGCUGUUUCAUACAUAGCUAUCUAUCUAUCUGUCUGUCUAUCUGUCUAUGCCUGCUUAGACCUAGUGGGGAGAUCGGCGGAGUCGGUGGCCGAACCCACUGGGAACUAUUCGUAGUUCUCACCCCACUUUGUUGCAGGGCCGAGCUCGAGUACCCCCGGUGAGGAUCGUGGUAAGGCUUAGCGCCCUAGUGUUGGUAGCCUGCCUUCCUUUUUGCAUUAGAGUCACCUGAUAUAUAUUGAGAGUAGAUGAUGUAUAGAGGUGAGGUAUUAGAUGAUUGUAAACUUAUGUUUAUAUUUUGGAAGAAUGCAAAGGUAAUCAAAUGUAUAAAGGUUGAAUAUUUGUAAUAGAUUAGUAUCUCUCUUUCGUUCACUCGUUUGUUACUUGUGAUGCUUGCUCUUGAUUGUUUAGCACUGGUUGUGCUCUCGCUGUUGUUGUAUGAUCGUGUAUGUAUUCAAGUGAUUUCCUGGGAACUUGUUGUACAUGAUCUCGUUGUUUAGCCUUGGGCGGACAGGGGAGGUCUUGUCCGUCAGGCGUCUGUUCGACGCGCCCGAACCGGACCAAAAUGGUAGCGGGUCUCGGGGUGUGACAGGGUUGGACUGGUGGCCUACAAGAUUGCUCUACUAUCGCAAUUAGCUGGUAUUUACGAUGUCUUUCUUGUCUCGGCAUUGAGGAAAUAUAUUUUUGAUCCUUCGCAAGUGAUUGACUUCACCCCACUAGAGCUGAGUGAGUGUCACGCCCCCGCCCCGAAACCCCUACCAAUUUAGCACGGUUUGGGCGCGGCGAACGAACGUCGAACGGGCAGCAACUCCCCUGCCCGCCCAAGGCUCACAACCUGAUCAUGUACAAGAAUUUAUCCAGGAAAAAUUAAAUUCAUACAUACACGAUCAACGGGGCACAAAUAGUGCCAACAACGAAGAGCAAGUAAUCCACAAGAUACACAAGUGAAAUAAAGAGAGAACUACUAACUAUUACAUCACAUUUGCAUUCUUUAUACAAUUACAUUUUCUUUUCCAAAAUGAAUACAUGCUCAUCAAGUACAUAGCUCUCCAAAGUCCUCACCUACAUGAAUCUCUCUCAAAUACAUAGGUGUGCUAAUGCAAAAGGAAAGCUACUACUCUACCAAUAAUCCUCACUGGUCGGGUGCGAUGCCCUUGUCGCGGUCCUCGCCCGGCAAACCUGUACCUAGCCUUGGAAAUAAAGUGGGGUGAGAACUAUCUUCCAUAGUUCCCAGUGGGCCCGGCCGCAGACUCCACCGAUCUCCCUACUAGGUCCAAGUGGGCAAAAGUAACAACGAAACAGAUAGAUAUAUAUAUAUCAAAGCUGUAAAGACAUAAUAGGAAAAUUAUGCUACUAUGCCCAUAAUCAUGUGAAAUGAAUGCAUGCAUCAUUUAAUAAAAGUUUACUAUCAUGCUAACAAGUUCGAUCCAUGUUCGAUAAGCAAUGUUCGAUAACAAUAGUAACUUUUCAUUUACCCAAUCUGUGGCGAAACCCUUGGGUUUGCCUACGCCUCACAUAUCCAUCCCAUAGGGUAAGGAGACUCUAUGUUCCCCCGAACCUGGGACUGUCUGCGGACAUCAAUUCUGUCUAAUCGCCCGACACUCCGGAGUAUUUGACGACAAUUUCUCUCCAUGUGAGGAUAUGGAUGGCUUUACCAUCCUGAAUAACAGACCGUGAGCUUGAUCUAUCCUCUCCACGUGAGGAUACCCUACGAACUAGGGCCAACAUUCUGUCGGAACUCAUCUAUGUCACUCUCUAGGUUAAUGCCACUCUCUAUGUCACUGAAAAACCAUCGAGUUCAUCUCUUUCUUUUGGCACUAUAGGAUCCAUGUUCCGACCCAAUCCUUACCUAUCCAUUUCACCAAGUAUUCCAUGCACACUAGGUUAACAUUUAGAAGCAUAAGGAAAAGGUACUAUAAUGCAAUCCUACAAUGCAACAUGUAAAAGAUGAAAAUCAUGUAUUUCUAAGACAAAAAAGAGCUCGGUUGCUUCGGGAUGACACCCCCCACCUUUCGAUGGUACGAAGGUUCUAGAAACGCUUUCCAACGAAUGUUACGACGAGGUCUCGGCCUCCUUGGUCCAAAACGGUGCUCAAUCGGCUAUAUUUCGUCGAUAGCUUUUCACCCGCUCGACGAAUCAAAAAUCCGACUUCGCCCCCGCGUUUAGACACCUAUCAAUUAGGUUUACAAGCUAUCAAAUGAGAUCAAUAUCAUCAUUUAUCAAAGACUCCAAUUUGGAGCCCUAGGUUUGCACCAAUAGCAAACCACUAAUAAAUCCCUAGAUUCUAGCUUAAAGCAUCAACUAAUCAUGCGAGGGUUCCAUUUGACCAAUUUCUAAAGCUAGAAAUCCAAAACCCUAGGUUCUACCAUUGUUAGGGUUCAAGAACUUACCUCUUAAGCUACACCAAAGGGGAGAGGAGAGGGAGGUGAAGGUGUCCUCGGGGGAUCGCGACCUCCAAAAACUCGUCCUCAGUUCGGAUUGCAGGCUGCAACUCGCCUGCAUGAAGCCGGAAUCGCUAGUAAUCGCCGGUCAGCCAUAUGGCGGUGAAUUCGUUCCCGGGCCUAAAUACUGCAUAUUUGAUUCCAUCCAUAAAUCCAUUUUCUUCCCUAUGAGUUCCAGUAUCGAUAAGAAUUGGGAUCCGAAUCCAUUAUUCAUUCAAUGGAACCUAUUGUUGGAUAUUCACCAGAUCCAUUGCAUUGCCAGAAUCCAUGUUGUAUAUUUGAAGCAGGUUGACCUCCUUGCUUCUCUCAUGGUACAACCCUCUUCCUGCUGAGCCUCCCUUCUCCUCGGUCCACAAAGGGGUAUUGGGGAUGAAAAAACAACCGCAGGUUUAUUUAUUUCUGGACGGACAAUAUUUCU